UAAUCUGUAAAAAAAAGAUUCUUCAUUUGUUUUACUCUGUUUCAUAUUCUGUUUUCUUGUUCUCACUUCUUGUUUCUGUAGCCGCAUCUUGUACUUGGGUUGAUCUUUCAGAUUAUAAAGGUAGACACUUUACAUUACUUUAGCAUAAGAUGAUGAGACAUGGUUACCUAAUUUUUUUUGUUUUUUGUUUGGGGAAACAAUAAGAUCCAAUUGUUGGCUGAUCUCAAUCUCAAGAAAACUCCACAACUUGUUGAGUUGGUGGAAGAAAAUCAGGUAAUGAGUUUAUAGCUUUCAACCUUUUAUACAAGUUCUUAAAAUGUGUAAUUUGAGGCUGAAACUAUACUUAAACAGCUUCAUUAAUGGUUUUUUGAAGGAUGUGGAAGAGCUCAUGGGUCUAGCUCCUGAAAAACUUUUGCUUAAAUGGAUGAAUUUUCAUCUUAAGAAAGCUGGUUAUGAGAAACAGGUCACCAACUUCUCUUCUGAUGUUAAGGUAACAAACUAGAUCCUGCUACAACGUUUUUCUUCUUCAUCUUGCUUGCGAUUUUCAGUUAUCUUGAUCUAAUCUAUCUUUUGUGUUUGGCAGGACGGAGAGGCAUAUGCAUAUCUGCUAAAUGCACUUGCCCCAGAACACAGUACACAAGUGACCUUAGAGAUCAAAGACCCUUCGGAAAGAGCGAAGAAAGUCCUUGAGCAAGCAGAGAAGCUUGACUGUGAAAGAUACCUUUCUCCUGAAGAUAUAGUGGAAGGCUCUGCAAAUCUUAAUCUUGCAUUUGUGGCACAACUGUUUCAGCACAGGUCAAUAUCAGGAAAGAGUGAUAAUUAUAUAUCUAUUCUUCACCUUUACUAGUUUUGUUUAUAUAUAUAUGAUCUUUGUUGUAGGAAUGGAUUCUCUGAUGAGACUUCGAAGACGCCUACCUCUUUUGCUGAGAUCAUCACAGAAGAUGAAGAAACUUCUCGAGAAGAAAGAUGCUUUCGCCUUUGGAUUAACAGUCUUGGUGCUGCCACUUAUGUAGAUAAUGUUUUCGAGGAUGUUAGAGACGGGUAAGCAUUGCAGUUUCUUUUUGUUUCAUUGAUCUUUAUUUGCUUGAAUCUAAACUUCCUAAUGACAUUUCUCAGAUGGGUUCUUCUUGAAGUUCUUGACAAAGUAUCACCAGGCUCGGUUAACUGGAAAUAUGCAAAUAAACCGCCCAUCAAAAUGCUAUUCAAAAAAGUUGAAAAUUGCAACCAAGUUAUCAAGAUUGGUAAAGAAUUGCACUUCUCGCUUGUCAAUGUAGCGGGUACUGACAUUGUUCAAGGAAAUAAGAAGCUCAUUCUCGGUGAGAUACCUUCCUGCAGAAAAAAAUUCUGUUACGUUUUCUAGUUUUAGUUAAAACUUGAUGACAAUCUUUGUAUGCAGCGUUCUUGUGGCAAUUGAUGAGAUACACAAUGCUCCAAAUUCUGAAUAACUUGAGAUCUCACUGGAAAGGUAAAGAAAUUACAGAAGCAGAUAUUCUGAACUGGGCAAAUAGGAAAGUCAAGAAGAUGGGUCGAACCUCUCAAGCUGUGAGCUUCAACGUAAAGAAAAGAGUCAAACAUGGAGACUAGAGUACCCAUUAUUCAUAUAAACCUUAAAAAAAAUUGAUGGUUACUUUUUAGGACAAGAAUCUGUCGAAUGGAAUCUUCUUUUUGGAGCUUUUGAGUGCUGUGGAGCCAAGAGUUGUAGACUGGAGUCUUGUAACCAAAGGAGAAACAGGUAGUAAAACUCUUAGUUGUUUAUCAGCAUUUGAAAAGAAUUGAGUUAAGGUUGGUUUUUGAUUGGCAAUUUUAAGCAGAAGAGGAAAAGAAGUUGAAUGCAACAUACAUCAUAAGUGUUGCAAGGAAGCUUGGAUGCUCAAUUUUCUAGUUGCCUGAGGAAAUUAUAGAGGUAGAUUAUAGCUUCAUAUUCCGCAGUAUUUUUUUCAGGCUGGGUUGCUUUAUCAGUCUGUAUGUAAACAAUGAUAACAGGUAAAUCAGAAAAUGAUGCUUAUAUUGGCUGCGAGCAUCAUGAACUGGAGCCUCCAGCAACAAUCAGAAACUGGCUCUACUGUGUCUGAUGAUGGUGAUGUAAGCUCUGUGACAGAAGAGAUCUCCAAUUUGUCCACAGACGAUGGAUCUUCAGAUGCCCAAGAUGAUGAAAUGUUAAACAAGUUUGAGACUUUCUUAUUCUUGGAUUGAAGUUUAGGUAGCGAAAGAGAAAACAAGAUAAGAGACAAUGUAGCUUUAUUAGAUAUACAAACAGAGAAUCUGAUACAUAUUGUACAACUGUGUAUUUGAUUUGUGGUAAGACAUCGUUAUUGUAGACUCAAGACAUUGUUAUUGUAGACUCUUGGUCACUGUUCUAGCUCAAAUCCUAUAAAUAAGAAGUGAAAUCAGAGACUAAACUACUGCAGGCGAAGCAAAUUGAGCACAUAUACUAAAACAAGAUACUGAAAUUCUAUUAUUGACAUCUGCAACAUGUUUGAUCCUUUGUGUAAAGAAAGAUUUGAAGGUUCUAUAUAAUAUUAUGAGAAUGGGGAGCAACAGUCUAUAUAGAAAAAGACAGACUCAAAACUUUGUUUUCACCAGAUUCUUAAGGAGAACUUGUAAUCAGUCCUCAGCUUCUGACUCGGAUUUCUCCUGCUCUGCCAUUUCCACGAGCAUUCUGAGGCGCUUAUCGAAAAUCAAAGCACUCUCGUCUCUCAUGUCAAGCUCUAAAGCCUCUGCUUCAAGCCACUUUUCUCUCAGGUCAUCGAGCAGAUUCCCUUGGUCUGUGGUCAUCAUUGCGCCUGGUGCACUUGGAGCAGUGGUUCGAAGUGAAGAGUCACCAGAUGGUGGAGGCAAUGUUAAUAGCAUUGCCCUGAACUCGCGGGUUUCAACAAAUGCCUCGAAAUUACAAGCAACCAAGUCUAAGCAGUACUCUCUUAUCUUCAACACGCCGUACCUAUGUCAUUCAAGUUCAAAACUAAACCUCUCAGCAUCAAUGUUUUACAAAUAGAACCGGUACCUCGAAUCAACUAGAAUCAAAAUCGUCAAAACUAAUAGAGACAUUAUGUUUUAAUUCCCAUGACUAGCAGUCAACAAAUUUUAGUGUAAUAACAUAUGUACCGUUAACCUAUCCUGCUCGACCAUUGAAUACGCCAAAGUUAGCCAUCAAUUAGAAAAUUGGUUUAGAGAAGAAGAAAAUCAUACAUAUCUGACAAAACCAGCCAAUGACAGAGUUCUGCAGGUGUGGCAGUUUCCAAGUGAGGCAACAAAGCGUCAGCCACAGCACGUUUCAGAGGAAACAGCAAGUAGCGAGAUGCAACAUCAAAGAUUUCCUCAGCCUGCAAAAUGAGUAAAAUUAUCAGAAGGAAAGGUAAAUUACAGAGGAUAUUCUCUAAAUAGCAAACAUGUUUUAACCUGAUUCGGAUUGAUCUCCUUCAGGCCAUCAGUGUACCUGAUAAUGCUUCUCGAGUUAGCUUAUCGUGCCAAAAAUAAGUUUUUCAAAAAACUUUCUCAGGUUUUUUGCUUACAUAUACUCAAUCAUCUUCUCGAAAGCCUCUGCACUUAAAUCAUGUUCUUCGAGAGCUGGAAGACAAUCACCCGGCAAAUCAUUUUUGCCCUCAUGGAAAUCAUUCACACGGGAUAAUCUUGCUCUGAAGUACUCUGAUCUCGAAGCUAGAAUGACUUGAUGGCAAUAGAAAGUCCUUUUAUCAACUUUAACACAAACAUCAGCAAGGCUAUCCACAGAAUCACUGACUCUCUUAUCCCCAACAGACGAAUUUAAUGAAUCGCCACUGGUAUCUGCAAAUGGCUUCGCUAGGGAAACCCGAAGAAUCCUAUGCAAUGAAGCAGGAAGCCUGUCUUCCUCUGGAAGAGAUAUCCCUUGUAAGAUAAACCGUUUCAUGGAGUUAUCAAGAUCUCUAUGUGUUUUGUACUCAGCAUAUUUCUGAUGAAUCAGUUCCUUCUCGAUAAUCCUCUGCAGCGAUUCGCAUUUACAAACUUUGCAGAUCCUUUCAAGGUCUUCCAUAUCAUCGACCGAUAUCUCCAGCCUAUCCGAGUAGAAGAAGUGGAUGAGGCUACACAGAGCAGGAUACGAAAGCUUCUCUUUCGAGAACCUAACUUCUCUUCGGUCUUUCCAUUCACUCUCGAACUUUUGCUUGAAAAACGGAGACCGAGCACUUAAGAUAACCCUGUGUGCUUCAAUCGGUCUACCUUGCACGAAGAAAACCACAUCUGGUGGGAAGUAAUUGGAACUACCCAUCUCAUCUACUGAAACUGAGACUGCAAAACACUCUCUCAUGCGUCAGUCUCUAGAGACCACAUACAAAGCUAACACGCACAAGAAGCUAUCUCAGUAAAAAUCUCUGCAACUACAAGAACUAAACGACAAUGUACUAAAUUGGAUUCAAGAACUCAAAUUUCCUUAAAAAAUGGAUUGAGAGUGAACAAUUAACUACAGUAUACCGAACAAUUCAAGUUCUCAACUACAAUGUACUAAACAAUUCAAGAACUCAACUACAGUGUACUUAAUUGGAUUCCAGAACUCAACUAUCCAUAAAAACUGGAUUGUGAGUGAACAAUUCAAGAACAAAACUACAAUGAACUGAACAAUUCAAGAACUGCAAUGUACUGAAUUGGAUUCAAGAACUCAACUUUCUUUAAUUGUGAGUGAAGUGGGAAAGAAACAAUCAAUCUUAAUUGAGGAUUCCAUGAUUGGAAAAAACAUACCGGAAACAUCAAUAUUAGCAACGGAAGCUUGUUUCAGAUACGCCCGAUUGUGGAAGCAACCCAGAAACGUUUCCCUAAGAGAAGCUUGCAAUGGAGCAAGCGGAGGCGGACGAGCCUCAAACGCCUUGAGAAGCUUCCGAAUCCUAAGGUUAAGAGAGGCGUAGUGACAACGAUCGCCGUCGAAAGUGUGUUCGGAGCAAAUAGCGCCGUUCUCAAGAAGCAUCCGAGCAGCGUCGAUGUGACCGGCGAGACAAGCGUAGUAGAGAGCUACAGAGUCCCAUCGGUCACGGGCGUUGACGUUAACUCCAGUCUCGAGUAGGUAUCGGAGCCUAUCGACGUCUCCGGCGCGUGAGGCCUCGAAAAUGUCUCCGUUGGGGACUUUUUUCAGAGGUAUUGAAGGUCCGUAAUCUUGGAGGUCAAUGUCUAGAUCUUCGAGGUCGGAUUCAAGUGUCCAAGACGAUGAACUCUCAAUCGGAGACAUCGUCGACGAAAUCGCCGGAUUUAGAUAGAGAAGAAACGCAUAAACCCUAGAGAGAGUGGUGAAGUUAUCGUUUCCAUGGUGGUCUUGUGGUUUUUUACUUAAUUCUGAGGUUUAGUGGAGAUUAACGAUUGAUUAGUGAAGAUAAAAGUGUUGUUGUUACUUAUCUACGGAGGUCUUAGCUUGGUCUCACACAUCAUUAACGAUAUUUUUACAUAGGUGACAGACUGACAGUUAUAAAACCUGGCCGACAUGGUUAUAUAAUAUGGUCGGAGCUUGGGACAAUGCCAUAUUGGGACAUGUCAUAUUAGUGUAGCUAAAGUUUAUAUAAUAUGGUCGGAGCUUGGGACAAUGCCAUAUUGGGUCAUAGGUCAUAUACUCAUAUUAGUGUAGCUAAAGUUUACAUGAGAAAGUUAUAAGAAAUGCUUUAUUUACAAACCAAAGGAAGGUAAAUGGGAAAUGAGACUAGGUGUUAUAGUCUGGGAAUUGAGAGAAUGUGUUAUGUGUGCAUCUUUGAAGACAUAUCGUAUUUGUACCCCAAAUCGGUUUUCGUAGUCGAGGAUCAUCUAACAAAAUUCAGGCUUAAAAUCUAAGAAUCUUAGACUACCUACCAUACAUGACUCUGCAAUAUAAGGGUAGGGCUUUUGCAACUUGAAACAAGGACAAAAGGUUUUGUUAGCACGGACUAUGAAAAUAUUAAUGACACAAGCGGUUUUAGCAUAUGGUCCAAACGCAGAGAUGUAGAGAAUGGUGAAGCGUUUAGGAUUUAGGCUGAAAGUUUGGUGAUGAUUGGUCAUUUAUGGCCAAAAUGAGUUAUAAGAAAGCUGACUAAGUAAGUAAUUUGAUGUGUGGAAAAUAUAAUGAAAAAUUGUAAUGAGAGAACCAUGAAUAAGCUGGAUGUUUGUUGUGAUUCAUGAAAACCUUUACACCUCAUAAUUUUUUAUCUAUCUAUUAAGAUUUUGUUUAUCCUUGUAUUCAUUAGAUUGUGAAUAACAAUAUGACUUUGAAUUUAUAUUAACAAUUGAUUAUUCACGCUUCCAUCCGUUUUUGUAUUGUGUUGUCUGGAGAAGUCUCACAAUUAUGGUUUUGUUGGAGAUUAAAAGAUUUGGGUAUCACCAACUAUCGUUAGUUCGACUGGCAAAUGAACUUUAAACAAAGCUUAAAGAUCACAAGAUUGAUUGUUGCUUGGAACAGAACUAAUAUUAUUUGUUGUAGUUCCGGAGUCGAGGGAUUACAGGCUUGUCCAAAACCUCCUGAUAAAAAAAAAUGAAAAAAAAAAGAUUUGGACAUCUUGGACAUAGAAGAAGAGUAUGGUUAGUAGGAUAUGAAUAAUAUGCGGAUUCAUUAAUAAAAAUUCUAUCAAAGAUUACUCGCAAAUAGCUUUGUAUAAAGCUGAAGACAUCUCUGUUAUAAACGCCUCGAUUGCUUGCUAUAUGGAUUCAUGUGCUAACACGGUCUUGUUCAUUUCAAACCUGCAAGCCGUGACUACAUGAGCUGUUUAGUUCACAAAGUAGAACUGCCUCUUUGGAGUUCCUUUCAUUAUCUUUGUAGUAUGAUUUGCUUUGAUCCUUACUUAGGAUGUUGUACUCUUCAUGGUUUUAAUUUUAGUGGAAUUUCAGUGAAAAGAAAAAAGAAAAACAAAAUGAUCAGCGUAGGAUUUGAAUCCAGAUAGCACCAAAGCUUCCCCGGAGGUCCGCUCCGCACUUUGGAAUUGGAAUCGGAAUCUUUCGGAAGCUCACAAGUCUUGAUAAAUAUAUUGUUGAUCAACAUGUAAUGACUAAUAUAUAAUGAGUUUUUCAUGGCAGAAAAUUGGUUUUAUAGAUAUAUUUAUUUAGAUGAUAAUUUUAGCCAAAAGGUUUCACUAUUUAUGUUCUAGUUGAUGAUUAUGUUUUAUAUUAAACAGAACAGUAAUUUUUAAAAAAUCACAAUUUAAAGUUUUUGUUUAAAAUGUUGUUUAAAUUUUUUUAAAUAUAUAAUAACAUAAAAUUAAUAUCAAAAUAAUUCAAACUAUUAGAGGUAAGAGUUUGACUUCCAAAAUAUGCAAAUUAUAAUUAGAGUCAGCUCUGGGCUAAAGUCUAUCAAGCAAUGGUUUUAGGUGGCCCAAAAAUCUAACAUUUUUUGAAGCAGCAAAAAAAUCCCACAAUUUUUUUUUUUAAAUGUGUAUUAAACUUUGUUCCAUAUCGACCGAGUCACAAAAAUAAGAAAGAAAAGUUGCAUUAUAAAUAAGAGUUAUUCUCCACUCUUUAUUCUUAUAGAAAAUAUGGAUCUAUUACUGGAUUUGAUUAUAAUACGACAAUUUUUUUUAAAAAAAAAUCGAUUUCAAGCUUAAAUAAAUUGAUUUUAGGCUUUAAAAAUCGAUUUUAAGUUUUAAAAAAUCAAUUUUAGGCAGAAAAAAAUCAAUUUUUUUUUUACAUUAUUUCGAUUAAAGACAUCAUUUUCAAAGUACGUUUUAGGCGUUAUAUAACUUUGCGUCGGCUCUGAUUAUAAUAAACAAGGGGGGGGGGGAUUUCUUUUCUUCUUCAGCAUUUGAAGACAUGAAGCAAAUACAAGCAAUGCUUGAACUUCUCCACAGUAACGGUCUUGGUCAACAUAUCAGCUGCAUUUUCUGACGUAUGCACUUUCUCCAACAAGACUUCUCCAGAUGCAGACAACUCUCUAAUCUUAUGAAAUCUGACAUGAAUGUGCUUCAUCCUUGCAUGAUAUACCGGGUUCUUGGCUAAAGACAACGCACUCUUGCUGUCGCUAUAUAGCUGAACUCCUCCUUGAUCAACAUCCAAUUCUGUCACAAGUCCCUUGACCCAAAGUGACUUCUUAGCUGCUUCUCCCAUUGCCAUAUACUCAGCUUCUGUAGUAGACAUUGCCACAACAGACUGUAGCACAGAUCUCCAACAAAUAGGACCUCCAGCAAGAGUAAAUACAUACCCUAUAGUAAACCUUCUGUUGUCUAGAUUAUCAGCAUAAUCUGAAUCCACAUAUCCCACAACUAAGUCACACUCUUGACCACCAAACAUAAAUCCAAGAUCGCUUGUACCCUUUAAAUAUCUGAAAAUCUAUUUGACAGCUUUCCAGUGUUCUCUUCCAGGAUUGGACAUGUACUUGCUCAUUUGACUAACUGCUUGUGCUAAAUCAGGUAUAGUGCACACCAUAGCAUACAUCAAACAGUCAACUGCACUUGCAUAAGGAACCUUUGAAAUAUCUCUGAUUUCUUGAUCAGACUUAGGACACUGCAUUGAUGAAAGUGAGAAGUGCAAUGCCAAAGGUAUAAACACUGCCUUUGCAUCUCUCAUGUCAAACAUGUCUACAAUCUUCUGAAUAUAGCUCUGUUGAGAAAGUCAUAAUCUCCUUGAGCUUCUUUCUCUGCGAAUUUCCAUCCCAAGGAUCUUCUUUGCAGCACCAAGAUCCUUCAUAUUGAACUCUUUCUUCAAUAACUCUUUCAGCUUAUCAAUAUCCUCCAUAUCUCUCGCAGAAAUAAGCAUAUCAUCAACAAAAAGCAGUAGGAAUAUGGUAGAAUGACCAUCCAGAAACCUUACAUAGACGCAGUAGUCAUACUUACAGCUUGUGUAGCCAAUCUUCACCAUGUCGGAGUCAAAACGUUUGUACCAUUGCCUAGGAGCCUGCUUCAAUCCAUACAGAGACUUCCUAAGUCUGUACACAAAGUUCUCCUCACCUGGUUUCACAAACCCCUCUGGUUGCUCCAUAUAGAUCUCUUCGUCCAGAUCUCCAUGAAGAAAUGCUGUCUUUACAUCCAUCUGAUCAAGAUGGAAAUCCCAGCUUGCUACCACACCCAGCACAGCUCUAAUAGAAGUGUGCCUAACCACAGGGGAGAAGAUUUCGUCAUAAUCAACCCUUUUCCUCUGUGAGUAACCAUUUGCCACCAAUCUUUCCUUGAACUUAACUGGUUCCUUCUCAGACAUCCCAGGUUUUACCUUGAAAACCCACUUGCAUCCUAUCGCCCUCUUGCCUUUUGAUAAAAGCGUUAGAUCCCAUGUUUGAUUUCUGUCUAGGCUCUCAUUCUCUUCUGUCAUAGCUCCAAUCCAGAAAUCUUUCUCAAGACUUGAGAAAGCCACUUGAAAAUUUGUUGGAUCACCUGAACCAACCAUCAGACAAUAAUUAGCCAUGUCUUCAAACCCUAAUAUUUCAGGCGGAUUAAUGAUGCGUCUUGGUCUUUGAAGUGCCAAACUCUCAUAUGCCUUACUAUGCUGAACAUCCUGCUCCACCUCAACAGGUUGUUUAUCAUGUCCUGCUGAUAGUCUAGUCUCACUAGACUCCUCCUGUGAUGUGCCAGAAUCUGUUUUAGUCUCAAUGAUCACAAGAACUCGAUCUGAUCUCGCUUGCUGCACCAUAUACUGCUCAUCAAAGACCACAUCUCGACUGAAUACCCUCUUCUUAUCAACAUGAUCAUAUAACUUGAAGCCUUUCACACCUUUUCCAAAACCCAGAAAAAUGCACUUCUUGGAUUUCGAAUCCAUUUUAGAUCUUUCGUCAUUUGGAACCAGCAUGUAAGUUGGGCAUCCAAAUAUCUUCAAUUUUGACAGAUAAAUAUCUGUCCUAGUUCAAAUCUCUUCAGCGACCUUCCUUCUAGAGAACUCCUAGGCGACCUAUUGAUGAGAUACACCACCAUGUUUACUGCCUCUGCCCAGAACUGCUUAGAAAGUCUUGCAUUCAACCUCAAACUAAAAAAAGCUUAAUCAAAGAGAGAGAAAUCGCAAAUUGAGGCAAACACCCGUUUAGGGUUUUCUUAUUGAAUGUGUGAAUGAUCAAUUACAAUCCCUAAAGUCUGUAUUUAUAUUCUCAAAAAUCCGACUCCCAAACCCACUCGAUAAAGGAAAUCCUUUAUCGAGCCCACUAAGGAAACUGUACCGUGGGGGGCGAAGCCCCCUACACCCCCCAAGUGAAUCCGAGCCGUUACAUUUCUCAGCUCGCUCUAGCAGGACCCUUUUAGAAUACUUUGUCACUAUAAACAAACAAUAUAUUAAUAUGAAACUACGAUUUUGCGUUUUGGCAGGAAAAUGAGAUUUUUUUCGUUUUUGGCAAAAUAUCAAUUUUUUGUGUAUCAAUUUUCCGUUUUUUGGCGGGAAACCGAGAUUUUGAGUUUUUUGGCGGAAAUCAAAAUUUUUGUAUUUUAGACGGGAAAUAAAAAUUUUUGCGUUUUUGACAGGAAAUCAAGAUUUUUUUUUUUUUUUGACGGAAAAUAAAGAUUUUGAAUUUUGCGAGAAAUUGAGAUUUUUGCGGCUUUUGCGAGACAUUGAAGUUUUUCGUUUUGAUAGGAAUCGAGAUUAUGCGGAAAAACUUGAUUUAAUGAGUUUCGCGGGAAACUUAGAUUUUUGUGGUUUUGACGGAACAACGAAAUUUCAAAUUUUGGCGAGAAAUCGAGAUUUUGUGUUUUUGGCGAAAAAACAAUAUUUUGCGGGGCAACGAAGUUUUUUGUUUUGAUGGAAAAAUCAUGAUUUUGCAGAUUUUGCGGAAAAGUUUGAUUUAAUGAUUUUUGCAAAAAAAUUAGAUUUUAUGGUUUUUGGCGGGAAAUCGAGAUUUUCGUUUUUAGGGGGUUUAGGAAAAAUAUUAUUUUGAUGAGAAUUGUUUUGGCGAAAAUUGAUUUUUUAAAAGAUAAUUAUGAAUAUGUUACCGAAGAUUAUUUUAGUUUGUUUUGAUAUGCUAAAUUUGCAUCCAAAACUCUAUAUUUUUCAGUAUCUGAAAAUUUUAACCCAAUUUUUUUUAUCCAUUGAGCGGACCAAUGUCCUAAAUGUCUAACCCGUUUUGUCCAUGAGCAAAAUUAGAAGAAAUCCAUUUCAACCCGUUUAAAAAUAAAUUUGGCCAUGACCGGUCCAAAAUGUGUUGGACACGUACAGACCAUAGGCCGUCCACCCUUUUUAACAGCUUUCUACUCAAGUAUAAUAUUUUUUAUUUUAUUUAAACGUAAACAAGAAUAUUUGUAAAACUAAAAUAAAAGAAAAUCUUCUCAAGCUCUUCUUAUCCUCUUUUUCUCUGUCUCUCUCUCGCAAAGAAGAAGCAGAAAACAAUUCUCUAGACGAUGAAGACGAAGAGAACACAUGAAACAGCACUAAGAGCAUGUACAUUAGAGGGCUUUAUUAUUAAAAGCUGCUUAAGAUUAUUAUAAUAUUUUUUAUAAGCAAUCCUCUAUGGGUCAGCCCUAAAAACUCUUCUGCAAGGGUCAGCUCUAAUAUUUUGGGUUUUCUUUUUAUUAUUUUAACUCAAAAUAUUUAUUAGCAACCUAAGUAAAAAAUAUUAAGGGCUCUCAAUGAACAUGGUUUUAGAACAUCACUAUCACGAUAUUUUAAAGGGUUUUUAGUGAAAUUUAAAAAUAAAAUAAUCAAAUCGUUUCUUUAGUUUAAGAAACAUUUUUUAAUUGGGGACAAGAAGAGCGUAUCUUCAGCUACGUGUUUGCGCGAGAUUGAUCUUCUUUCUUUUCCCCGAGUCUUUUGUUUUUUUGGAUUUCUCCUUGUUUUCUCUGUUGAGAGAUUAGAAAUGCAGAAAUCCGUCUUGUUGAUCCAAACGGUGGCAAUCUCUGGCGGCGUAUUCUCUGCCGUCUCUUGCUGGUGAGUGAUGUUUGUUCACAUCUAUCUCAGCUUGUCUUCUCGAUUUUUCGUUUCUCCUCUUCCCAUUUCUUCUAUUUAGGGUUCAUGCUUUGUCUUUUUUAUUGUUUAGUAGAGAAUUCGCGAGAAAAGAGCUCGGCGGUUUGAUUGAAGGACUCGUCGUGGAGGCUCCGACUCUAGCUGCUUCUCCUCCUCAUUAGUUUUGAUUUCAAUUACAUUUUCUGUGAAUGAGAGCAAUUGUUGUAUAAACGAUGUGUUUAUCAAAUCCUUCUAGUUAAUUCAACUAUGAAUAACUAUUUUGACAAUUCGAUCUCUGUAUAUACGAGAGAAAUGCACAUUGGUUGAUGAGAAGAGAAAACCCACAUUGUUUGUGAUAAGAUUGUUUGUAAUAGAAACAAAAAAAAAUUGCAAAUUAUUUGAGAUUAGAGUUUGAGAUUAAAAUUUCAUAUUGCAAAAAAACAUUUUUUUAAGAAACUCAUCUCGGAUUCUACCAAUGAACCGACAUAAACUAAAGAUUUUUUUAUCAGAGUUUGUUAACAAAAAAUAAUAACAAAAAUUGCAUAAUAAAUCCAUAUGGGUUUCUGCAAUAAUGAUGCUCUAAUAUGUAGGUACACAUAGAGACCACUAUAUUCAUACAUCUUUAUAGAACGAAUUCAAAUAGUUUUUAUUUGACAAAAAAAUUUCAAAUAAAUAAAAAAAAAUUACAAAGAUAUAACUUUUCUGUCAUAUAGUUUGAAAAAAGUUGAUAAAAAUAAUGAAGAGAACUCUACAAGAAAGUAGAAAUCUAAAGAGAGGAGAGGAGACGAAUAUCUAGAGAUGGCUCUCUAGGGACCCCUAUUUUUUUACUCUUACGUGUUGGACCGAGAUUUAUAAAGCCCAAAUGGGUUUUAUUAAAAAUCAGAGUGUGAUGAUGAAAUGGGCCAAUACUAGAUGUUGGCUUGUUUUUAAUGAAGUGCACUUGUCCCACAUUGACGGUUUGGUGGAAACAUUUCCUCUAUAUAUUAGAUCAAGUGUUAUAAAUGUUCAAAUAGCGUGUGAGAGAAAAGAGGAAGCUUCACGCGCGCCACCACCGCAGCAAGCCACACCAGACCGGGCCGAGCGCGGGUCGUGUUGGUCGAAUGGGCCUAAGGCAGGUAUUAUUUUGGGCCAGAUUUUUAUGAACGUUUCAACAUUUUUUUGUUGACUCAAACUUUCUGCUUGCGUUUUUGAUUCAGUCAAAAGAAUAUUGGAUAUUCAUUAUCCCCACAAAAAUAUAACAUCAGAGAUUGUGACUUUAUCACGUUCGCUGAUUCUUUGCAUUUGACUUCGUUCAAAGUAUGGCCAAGAUUCGUGUUUGACUCAUGGAUUUUGUGGGAUUUUGCAGACUGCACAAAUCUCUUCCUCUGCUAUAUAAACACGACAUCUCCUCUCAUUUUAAACACUCACUUACUUCUCAUUUUCUACACAGAAAAUUCUUGCAACAAUCUAUGUCUUUUACUGAGAGUAUAGUAGAAGUAAUAGUUCGUAUAGAUCCAUGUUUCUUAGUGCUUCUGAAAACAGAUAAGUAUGGUUGUAUCCUGCAAUUCUUGGAUCACAGAAACCCGUCGCACUACGGGCGAUUCAAAGAGUUAAGAAAAGAGAUCAUAGUCUCACCUCCACUCGUAUCUCUUUACCUUUACUUUUAUAUUUAAUCUCGUAUUUCAAUCGUUAUUUCAUAGUGUACAAUCAAUUUUGGUCCUACAGUACCAUGGUCAAUUGCAUCUCUUGAACUGUUUUUGUGUAAGUUUUAUGGACCUUCCCCAUCGAGUCCUUUGAGAUGUGUCACCCAUUUCAAACCUUGUAGCUCUCAAAUCUAAGGCAGCUAACCAAGACAUUCCCUUGCACAACUUCAUUAGCGAUUUGAGUUGGAUUUUAUAAAUAAUAUACAUAUAAUAUUUGAAAUUGUAUACUUUUAAAUUUAUUUUUAUUCGGAAAAUUGUGUUUAGUAUACGUAUUAUAUUUAAAAUUUGUAUACUUCUUAAAAUCAUUUCUAAUCUGCAGAUUGUGUUUCUUUCAGAAAUGGAAAACUAAACUGCCAAUGUCACCUCAGUCGAUCAGACUAUCACUAUUGGGACUGAACAGAUCCAGUUUGGGUCUUUCCCACCAGUGACUUGGGUUAUCCCGCCUCCGAUUACUGGACAAUAUCAAUCGGUUCAGAUGCGAGCUGUGAAUCCAGUAGGAGUCCUUCCCGAGAAGUUCGAUGGGACCAAAUUUAAGAUGUGGCAGAAGAAGAUGUUCUUCUAUCUGGCCACACUUAAGCUGGAGAAGUACACCCGUGAAGAGAAACCUAUUCUCCCAUCAGAUAAUGAUGAUGCUUAUGCACUUGCAAGCAAGUUAGCUUGGGAACACAGAGACUUCCUGUGCAAAGGAUACAUUCAGAGUCGUCUUGCUGAUGCACUGUUCAACGUGUAUAGCAAUGUCGAGACGUCUAAAGAACUAUGGGAUUCUCUAGACAAGAAGUAUUGCACAAAAGAUGCUGGAUCUCAUAAAUACGCUGUGGCGAAAUUUCAAGACUACAAAAUUGUGGAUUUGAGGCAAAUAAUAGAUCAAGUGGGAGAGCUACAAACUCUUCUCCAUGAAAUUCAUGCUGAGGGGAUGAGGCUGUGUGAGACCUAUCAGGUCGCAUGCAUCAUUGAGAAGCUCCCAUCUAACUGGACGGUCUUUAAAAACUAUCUGAAGCUGAAGAAGAAGUGGAUGAGUCUCGAAGACCUAACCAUUAAGCUUCGUAUGGAGUCAACAAACUGAAAGAACCUCGGACAAGGUGUGUAAAUUUGCGAAUCCAAUGUGAAUGUGGUGGAACACCAAAACAAAGGGUGCUACAACAAAGGACGCCAAGACAAAGGAAAGGGCAAAGUACCACCACAUAACUCACAGAAGUUCAAGAAGAAGAAAUCUGGUGGUGGCGAAAGCUCUCAAAAGUUCACUGGAACAUGUCACAAUUGUGGCAAGACAGGCCAAAAAUCCUUUGAGUGCCGCAGCAAAAAGGCUCUAAGGAAAAAUGAAUCUAAUCUCGCCUAUCCAGACAUGUGCGCGAUGAUCACUGAGGCAAACGUCGCUGAGAGCCAUCCAAAGAUUUGGUGGUUCGAUACUGGUGCAACCAGGCACAUUUGCUUGGAUAGGUCAAUGUUCUCUGCCUACACCAAGAACAAGAGUGACGAGAAAAUCUUUAUGGGAAACUCUGCGACAUGAAAGAUUGAAGGUUAUGGGAAAGUUGUUCUGAAUCUUACCUCUGGACGUGAGCUUACCCUGACAAAUGUGGUCCACGUGCCGGACAUGCGCAAUAAUCUGAUCUCUGGAUCUCUCAUGAGUAAGCAUAGAUUCACUGUCAAGUUAGAUGCGGAUAAGCUGGUGCUAUCCAAAACGGGAUGUAUCUGGGGAAAGGGUUUGUUAGUGAUGGUCUUUUUAAGAUGUGUGUUGAAGCUUUUAUUCGCAGAAAUGUUGUAACUGAGGCUUCCACCUCGAAGAUGAAUGAGAAUAAGAAACCAGUUACUUAUUUGUCUAAGUCUUUUACUUUAUAGCACGAAUGUUUAGGACAUGUUAACUUUAAAACUAUGAGUAGAUUGAUGAACAUGAAUAUGAUUCCUAAACACGAAAUAAGUAAGGAAAAAUGUGAGAUUUGCGUUCAAGCCAAACUCACUAAAACACCAUCACCAAACGUGAAAAGAACAAUUGAACCUCUAAGUUUAAUUCACACUGAUUUUAUGUGACUAGUGGUUUGUGCAAACCAGAGGUGGGAAAAAUAUUUUGUAACCUUCAUAAAUGACUGCACAAGAUAUUGUUAUGUAUAUUUACUAAGCAGUAAAAAUGAAGCAUUGGUCAAAUUCAAAGAAUACAAUUUGGAAGUGGAAAACCAACUUAAUAAAGCUACUAAAAUAGUUCGAAGUGAUAGAGGAGGAAAAUAUGAUGAACCCUUUAAUACGUUCUGUAUGGAAAAUGGCAUUAUUCAUCAAACUACUGCUCCUUAUUCACCAGAGUCUAACGGAGUUGCAUAACGAAAAAAAUAGAACUCUAAAAAAAACGAUGAAUGCAAUGUUGCAAGAAUCUAGGUUAGCCCAGAACAUGUGGGGGGAAGCUUUGCUUACCCCAAAUUAUAUCCUCAACAAAAUACCGCAUAAAAUUACGGGACAAACCCCAUAUGAACUUUGGAAGGGAAGAGUACUUUCAUACAAAUACCUAAAAGUGUGGGGGUUCUUGGCAAAAGUAGCAGUACCACCUCCGAAAAAGGUCACAAUUGGACAUAAGACGGUAGAUUGCAUUUUCAUAGGAUAUGCUCAUAAUAGUAGUGCCUAUCGAUUUCUGGUACAUAUAUAAGAUAAUCAGAUAUUCAUAUGAAUACAAUAAAGGAGUCAAGAAAUGCUUCAUUCUUUGAAAAUGUGUUUCCAUGUAAGGAUAGAGAAAGCUAUAAACGAUCUCAUGACCAACGAUAUGCUUGUACUUCUGGAAAUGAAGCAAGCACUUCGGGCACUGCUAUUAAUGACGAAAAAGAAGAAGAAGAACUUAGAUGGAGUAAAAGAUCUCGUAAAGAAAAAAACAUUUGGUUCUGAGUUCUUAGUUGUUUUCCUAGCUGAAAAUGAACCAAGAACAUUUACAGAAGCAAUGUCCACGCUAGAUGGUCCUCUUUGGAAGAAAGCUGUUAAUAGUGAGAUGGACUCAAUUAGACAAAACCACACUUACGAGAUAACCGAUCUACCACAAGGGUUUAAAGCUCUAGGGUGUAGAUGGAAUUUCAAAACAAAGUUGAAAACCGAUGGAUCGAUAAACAAGUACAAGGCUAGGCUUGUGGUGCAAGGAUUUCGACAAAAAGAAGGUCUAUAUUUCUUUGACAUCUAUUAUCUAGUAACGAGAAUAACUUCAAUCAGAAUGCUGAUCGAAAUUGCAGCACUGAGAUAUCUAGAAAUCCAUCAAAUGGACAUUAAAACUGCAUUUUUAAAUGGGGAUUUAGAAGAGAAAAUUUACAUGAAAUAACCUGAAAGGGUUGUUGUCCCAGGACAAGAAAACAAAGUCUGUAGACUUGUUAAAUCAUUGUAUGAACUUAAACAAGCUCCAAAAUAAUGGCAUGAAAAAUUUGACAAUGUAAUGAUGUCAAAUGGUUUCAGCAUUAACGACUGUGAUAAAUGUAUAUACAUAAAAGUACUCCUCACGGGUAUGUUUUGCUGCUUAUACGUUGAUGACAUGCUCAUUAUUGGCAGCAAUAAAGACAUGAUCACUCGAAUUAAAAAUUUUGCUAAGUAGCAAAUUUGAUAUGAAGGAGAUGGGAUUAGCCGAUGUGAUUCUAGGAAUUAGAAUUAUAAAAAACUCGGAUGGAAUAAUCUUGUCCCAAGAACAUUAUGCUGAAAAAAUCCUUGAGCGGUUUAAGAACUACUCAAAUGGAGUUGCAAAAACUCCAGCUGACCCUCAUUUUCACUUGACAAAAAAUUCGGGUGAACCAGUGUUACAAGUGGAAUAUGAAAGAGUGAUCGGAAGUCUUAUGUACUUAACAAACUGUAUUAGACCCGAUUUUUGGUGCACUCAGUAAUUGUACUUAGUCGCUAUACAAGUAAUCCAGGUCAUAAUCAUUGGAAGGCCAUAACUAGAAUAUUGAAUUAUCUUUGAUACACCAAAAUUUAUGGGUUGCACUACAGUAAAGAACCAGUAGUCUUAGAAGGCUAUAGUGAUGCCAACUGGAUUUCAGAUUCUAAAAAUUCGAAAUCAACAAGUGGAUAUGUCUUUACACUUGGUAGUGCAGCAGUAUCCUAGAAAUUUUCCAAACAGACUAUGUUGGCCAGAUCAACCAUGGAAUCUGAGUUUCUAGCGCUAGACAAAGCUGCAAAGGAAGCAGAGUGGCCUCGGAAUUUUUGGAAGAUAUCCCGAUGUGGAAAAAGCCAGUGCCAACAUUACGUGUACACUAUGAUAGUCAGUCGGCUAUAUCUCGAGCACUGAAUAAGCUAUAUAAUGGUAAAUCUUGUCAUAUUAGAAGACGACACAAAACCAUUAGACAUUUGAUCUCGACUGGUGUACUCACGAUAGACGACAUCAAAUCAGUUAAAAACUUAGCAGACCCUUUUACGAAAAGUCUGGCAAGAGAUCAAGUUGUUAAAUCAUCAAGAGGAAUGGGUUUAAAGCCUAUAGAUAAAAAUGACGCCUGAUGGUAACCCCACCUAUGUGACUGGAGAUCCCAAGAUCUAGGUUCAAAGGACAAACGAAAUCAAGCGGAUUCAGAAGUGAGCACUGUGAGACUAUGUCUCUUCCCAGUUUCUAAGAUGAUAGACAGUGCUACCUGUGAGUGUUAAUGUUAAGCUGUGGCUUUUAAUGAUUCCAUUAGUUUUGAGAUAUUCGUGAAGGUUACUUCUUAAAAGAAAAACUAAUGGCAGAUCACCUAAUGAGUGUGAAAUGGGGCCGUUUCUAGGAGAGUGAAAGUAAGACUAUAUUCUCCAAGUUCACUCAUGAAACCAGGAAUGUUCAAGGCCAAAAUAAAUACAAUAGAGAACUCAAGUUCUACGAGAAAAUGUGGCUGCGCGAUAACUGUUGUCUCGGUUUACAUCAAAGUCUAGGUGUUUCAAGACAUCAUGUACACCUCCCGGCCAAGUAAACCCGGCAUAUAUUAAAAAAGAUUGGUUCAAAGCUGAAAAAUGCUACCUCUCAGAUACAGUGCAUUUUCGCAUACUCUCGAAAGUCUGUCUAGUCUAGUCAAAGUAGUGUCUAGUCGAGUCGAGUUUAGUUUAUCGAGUCAGUUGAGUCUUCAUAUGUUUAGAGUCACUUCUCUUCAUGUGGGGGAAUGUUGAAUCGAGUUUUAUAAAGCCCAAAUGGGUUUUUAUUAAAAAUCAGAGUGUAAAGAAGAAAUGGGCCAAUACUAAAUGUUGGCUUGUUUUUUAAUGAAGUGCAUUUGUCCCACAUCGAUGGUUUGGUGGGAAAAUCUCUUCUAUAUAUUAGAACAAGUGUUAUACCUGUUCAAAUAGCUCGUGAGAGAAAAGAGGAAGUCCUACGUGCGCGCUGCCAAGCCAAGCCAAGCCAAGCCGGGUCGGGUCGGGUCAGGUCGGGCACGGGUGCAGGUCGUGUUGGUCAAAUGGGCAUUCGGGCCUAAGGCAGAUAUUCUUUUUGGGCCAAAUAUUUAUGAACGUUUGGUCAAUAUUUUUUCGUUGACUAAAACUUUCUGCUUGCGUUUUUGAUUCAGUCAAAAGAAUAUUGGAUAUUCAUUAUCCCCACAAAAACGUAACGUCAGAAAUUGUGACUUUAUCACGUUCACAGAUUUUUCGCAUUUGACUUCAUUCAAAUUAUGGCCGAGAUUCGUGUUUGACUCGCGGAUUUUGUGGUAUUUUGCAGACUGCCCAAGUCUCUUCCUCUGCUAUAUAUACACGACCUCUCCUCUCAUUUAACACAUUCACUCACUUCUCAUUUUCUACACAGAAGAUUCUUGUAACAGUCUCUCUCUUUUUAUUUCGUAAGUGUUUUACCGAGAGUAUAGUAGAAGUAAUAGUUCGUAUAGAUCCGUGUUUCUUAGUGCUUCUGAAAACGGAUAAGUGUGGUUGUAUCCUGCGACUCUUGGAUCACAGAAAUUCGUCGCACUACGAGCUAUUCAAAGAGUUAAAGAAAGAGAUCAUAGUCUCGCCUCCACUCGUUUCUAUUUACCUUAACGUUUAUAUUUAAUCUCGUAUUUCAAUCGCUAUUUUGUAGUGUUCAAUCAAUUUUGGUCCUACACUACCAUGGUCAAUUGCAUCUCUUGAACUGUUUUUGUGUAAGUUUUAUGGAUCUUCCUCCUCGAGACCUUUGAGAUGGGUCACCCAUUUCAAACCUUGUAGCUCUCAAAUCUAAGGCAGCUAACCAAGACAUUCCCUUGCACAACUUCAUCAGCCAAAGAUCUGAUUGAGAAUAAUUUGAAAUUUUACCAAAGCAGGAGCAGAACCAAAUAAAGUAGCAGUAGGGGCUGCUGGUUUUGCCUCUUCACAUGUGAGGUUGGAGUGGAUGUAUUUGUAACAGGUGUUACAACAACAAUGCUUGGUGUGUCAUAGGCUGCUCCUAUAGUAGAAUCAAUAGGAGCACAUGCUAAGGGAGAUCCAAGUGAUGUAAUGGGGCUGGUAAUAGUUGUAGCAAUAACAGCUUCAGUAUUUAUUUCAGUACAUAUUGCAUCCAUAGCUUCCAAUGAAUCAGUAACAACAAUGGGGGUAGAGAUAAUAGAGUAAGCCACUUCAUUAACAUUAGGUUUAUGAAGAAAUAGGAGUCUCGAUUCCUUGUGGCCUAAUUGUCCACAUCUCUCACACUUAUAUGGAAUGCAAGAGUACUCAAGAGACACCAUUGAGAAAUUGCAUUGUUUAUCCACAGCUACAAACUUAUGCUGAAUAGCCUUAUCUAAUUCUACUUCUACCAUUAGCUUAGCCUCACCUAUUUGUGUGGGUCUAACCUUGAUUUAUUAGUGAACAUAGGUUCUCCUAAACUUAAGGCUAUCCAAGUAAGUAAGAUUUAUACUCAAAUACGAAAUUUGUUUUUAGAAAAAUUGGACCUAUAUAUAUAUAUAUAGUCCAUAUUUUUAAAUAUAUAUAUAUAUACUACUGUAAUUUUUUUAAUAAAUAAUUCGAAUACGACCUCCCAGAAGUUUGAGACACUCUACAAAAGGUUUACACCUUAAAAAACUCUUUAGAAACCAUCAAAUUUUUUUAGCAAAAAAACCAUCAAAUUUAAAUAUAUGAAAAAAAUAUUAGCACCAUCUAUAUAUAAAGUUACUUACUAAAUUGGAAAUUAAUUAUAAAAAAAAACCGAAUUUGCAAAACAAAAUGCAAGUUUUGUCCAAAAGUUCACACUGAUAAUCUAACACAUAAGUCAAAUUUUCUUGUUUUCCGUCAAUGUUUAAUCAAACAUCAACAUUAAAUAGCCAUGCUAAAACAUAUAUUAAAAUACACAUAAAUUUAUUAAGUGAGCAUGCGUGUGGGUUUAUAGUACAGAUAAAACAAACUUUUAAAAGAGUCUUCUUAAAGUUCUUCUCUUUCUCCUUCUCUUCUCUCUUUCUCAAAGAAGAAGCAGAAAAACAAUUCUCCAGACGAUGAUGAAGAUGAUGAAGAGAGAACAUGAAGGAGCACUAGUAUAUUCAUACAUCUAUACCGCUAAUGAAUUCGAGGAGAUGCAUUAGAGGCUACUUCGGUGUUUCGCCGGAAAAAUAAAAGUUAUCAUGAGUCAUCGGCGUACAUGGGAAAGCCAGGCAUUUCUUUAAUUUUUACAUUUUCUGUCUUUUUUAAUAUUCAUAUGUAAUUUUUUUUUUUAAAAAGGAAAAGUCGUAUUUUCAUAUUGUUGUUCAGAUUAUAUCGCAAACAAACCAUAAAUAGGAUGGAUUGAGAUGCUUUCCCAAUUUUUGAUUUUUUUUGUCCUUUCCUGCUAUUUUCUUUUUGACUAACUCAUUUUCCCACAUUAACUAAUCUAAAUAUAUAGAUAUAUUUAUAUGUAUAAUGUAUUUAUAUAUUUGUUUGUUGUAUUGUGUAAUAAGAAGAAUAUAUUAAUAAAAUUUAUGAACCAUUUAUAUAUUUAUAAACCUACAGUCGUUGUUAGGUACGUAAUUGGUUGGUUCAACGUCAAAUCAGUUGGCAAAUUAAAACACAUUUUCAUCCUAGCUCAUUUAAAAAAACUAAUCUUUUAAUGUCGUAGCAGUUACGUAGCUUUCCUUGUUUCGAGCAUUCACGCCACAUAUAUCAAUAAUAAAUAAAUAAAUACAGUAAUAUAUAAAUGUUGACAAAAAAAUUCAGUAAAGAAACCCUGUAUUGUUUCUUUAUGAAAAAUAUUCAGGUGUUGAAACGUGAAAUAACAGAUAUUUAGGUAAAAUGGAAUGCCAUAUCUACUACAAAUUUCAAUUUAAGAUGUUAUACCGGGAGGCAAAUUGUUUAUAUUGAAAGUUUUCAGCCAUCAUUUUCUGAAAUUCAUAAUUUCUAUCUAAAAAAAAAAAAAAGAGCUACUUGCUACAUAUUUACCGAAAACGAAACAAAGACCUAUCGAUCGUAAAUUCCAAAAACAAAGCUAGCUAUGAUAUUUUUGGUUGAUAUGCUGUUUAUAAAUAAGACUACACAAUAAUUAAGUGGUUGGUAAAAAGUACUACAACAAGUAAUCUAAAAUCAACAGCCAACUCAGGGUGGUCUAAUAGUUGAGAAUCCACUCUCUUGAUUAGAGAGUAGGGUUCAUGUUUAAAAUCUAGCUAAACAUCUGUGAACGUCUUAAAUGGUAAGAAAACCUAAAUUUUCACAUUACAGGUCUUAAAGAUUAGUCUAAGAUUCGGUCUGAAAUUUUUUCUGGUUAGAAAAAAGCUUAUCUAAAUACCUCAGUUUGCAGUAUUGUAAUUUUUUCUCAAUAAAAAUGAAUGAAAAUAAGAAAGAAUCAUUUAAAUGUUUAAAAACUUGAGUUGAUAUAUUGUUGGGAGGAGGAGAGAAGAGAGCAAAUAGUAGAGAAGAAAAUUGCCGGCUAUUAUCAAAACAGAACGGCACGCAUUGCCCCCGAGGGGCUGUUCCUUGUUGACUUCACUCACUCUCUCUUUUUUUAUUUUCGUAUCCCUAUUAAUUGAUUUCUUUAUUUGUUUUUUCUUUAUUUUUCUUUUGUGCACGCAAAUUCAUUAAUUUCUUAUAUUUUCCUCUACCUACUGUGAAUGUGUAUAACUAAGACAAAUGUUUUCUUUGGAAUGAAUUUUCUUUCUUUUUUUUCCCAAUGGUAAAAGCCAGUGUUGGUCAAGGCAAACAAUAUUUUAUUAAACCGGGACAAAAUUCAUCAAACCAUACCCGAACUGAAUUUUGUAACGACUCGAAUGGUAAAAGAAAAUUCUAUACCGAAUUCAAAUUGAAUAAAACUGAACGGUUUGACCAAUAUUCACGAUAACUCAUUUAUUUUUUUAAAUUUCUGAAUUGAAUUGAAUUGAAUUGAAUCGAAAUAAAAUUAAAUCGAAAUAAAACUCAGUUAUAACUGAAUUGAAUCGAAAUAAAAUUAAGUCACAAAUAUGACUGAUUUUUAAAAAAUUGACCAACCCGAGGUCUGGCUAGCCGACACCAAACCAAAUGACCGAAUGUCAACUGUUAUUAAGCACACACACAAAAAAACUGGAAACAAAGGAUGACUUGUAUCACUUAAUUAUAUCAUUCUUGUAAACUUUAAUUAUUAUAUGUAUAUAAAAGGAGAGAAAGUGAGUGGAAACGAUAUGAAGGAGAAAAGUUGUAUUAUUAACUUCGCUUACAUCAUAAAAGAAAGAUGUUCCUCUAUUUAUAGGGAGGAUGGUAGUUACAAAGAAAAGGUUGUUAUUAUCACACGUAAGCAAAUGAGGGAUAUGUGAAAAUUGAGGUGGAGAAUCAUUUAUAAAACACUCCCUCCCUCUUGAGUAUCCAUUACUAAUAAUAUAUUACGUAUUGCCUCGUUAGAAAUCUUAUCAUGAAAAAAUCCAAUGAGAUAAAAACUAUGACAAAAAAGAGUAUAGUAACGUAAUCUUCCUCUAGAAAUGAUGGAUAUAAAUUUCUUUUAUAGGUCUCGUAGUCGGCGCAUUCCAAUACUAUGAACAUGUUUUCUAAGUGAGAAACGCAUUUGUAAAAAGAUCUGCUGCAGUGUCGCUCGAGCGAACGUAUUGGAUAAACUUCUUGAUUCUUCUCAAGUUCUUGAGUGUUAGAGAAAAGUCUUGGAGGAAUAUGUUUUGUUCAAUCACUCUUGAUGAAGUCUUCCUUGAGUUGAGCGACACAUGCAGCAUUAUCUUCGAACACUUUUGUUGGUUCCGUAUCAAUGACUAUUCCACUUGCACCGUGUAUAUGUUGAGUCAUAGAUCGGAGCCAUAUGCAGUCUCUACAUGCUUCAUGGAGAGCAAUGAUUUCCGCAUAAUUUGAAGAAGUGGCGACCAAAGUCUGUUUUUUAGAACGCCACGAGAUCGCUGUUCCACCAAUUGCGAAAACAUAUUUGCGAUCGAGCUUUAUGCGGAUCUGAUAAAUAUCCUGCAUCUGCAAACCAACUAUACCAACUUCGGAGUUUCUAGGAUAAAAUAAACCCAGAUCAAUCGUACCUUGGAGAUAACAAAAGAUAUGCUUUAUCCCAUUCCAAUACCUGCACGUAGGAGAUGAACUAUAUCUUGCAAGUAGAUUAGUAGCAAAAUCUAUAUCUGGUCGAGUACAAUUUGCAAGAUACAUAAGCCCACCGAUAGCGCUCAUAUAAGGUACUUCAUGACCUAAUACAUUUUCGCUAUCUUCACAAGGUCAAAAUGGAUCCUUGUUAAUAUCAAGUGAUCUAUUGACCAUUGGAGUACUCAAAGGAGUUGAUUUAUCCAUUUUAAAGUGUUUUAACACCCUUUUGGUGUAAUUUGAUUGAUGCACAAAUAUUCCGUCUUGGAAAUGCUCAAUCUGGAGUCCUAGAAAUUUUUUUGUCUUUCCAAGAUCUUUCAUUUCGAACUCUUCUUUCAUGUGAGUUCUUGCAUCAUCAAUCUCCUUUUGAGUUUUGAUUAUGUUCAGCCAUUCCUUGUGAUGUUAUCGCACCGCCGAUUGACACUAGUCCUUCGCUUGCACCACCUUUGUUUCCUCCGACUCCUCUAUCACCACCAACUCCUUCAUCAUUGGCUCCUCCAGCUCCUGCAGUUGCUCCGGCUCCACCAACUCACUCGCACUCGAUGGUCAUGCAAGCUAAAGCUGGAGUUUGCAAGCCCACUCAACGACUUUGCCUUCACACCACCGUCGUUUUUCCACUUCUCUCUUGUCACGGCAAAACACCCUUAUUCGAAUGGUGCUAUGAAUGAUGAAUAUGAUGCUUUUAUUAAAACAGGAACGUGGUCUUUAGUACCACGGCCUCCGAAUACUAAUGUUGUUCGUUACAAAUCUCGCUUCAUUGCUAAUGGGAUGUCUCAGCAAGAAGGCAUCGAUUGUGAUGAGACAUUUAGUCUAGUGGUGAAGUCUGCGAUGAUAUGCGUAGUUCUUGGUGUUGCUACUUCUCGCAGGUGGGCUCUCCAUCAAUUGAAUGUCAAGAAUGCGUUUCUACAUGGAGAUCAUAAAGAGACCGUCUAUAUGCACCAACCACUAGGCUACCGUGAUCCUUCCAAAUCUGAUCAUGUUUGCUUAUUAUAUCGCUCGUUAUACGGCUUAAAGCAGGCACUUCUCACUUGGUACACCAGGUUUGCAGUCUAUGCUCGCUGCAUUGGUUUCCGCCAAAGCCUCUCGGACCCGUCUCUUUUCAUCUUUAGCCGUGGUGUGAAGACAGCUUAUCUCCUCUUGUACGUCAACGAUAUUAUUCUUACAGCAUCUACCACAUCUUUCUUGCGUUGGAUUAUUUCUUCUCUUACCUCCGAGUUCUCCAUGACUGAUAUGGGACCAUUGCAUCACUUUCUUGGCAUUAGUGUGGUCUAUAACGACAAAGGACUAUUCCUUCAUCAACAAAACUAUGCUGCUGACCUCCUUCACAGUGCUCGCAUGAUGGAGUACAAUCCUUGCAAUACACCCAUUGACACGUCGACACCAAGUCCAAAGUCGGCGCUGAUGAUGGUCCACCGGUCUCUGAUCCCACACCCUACCAUAGUCUCGCUAAUGCUCUCCAAUAUCUCACGUUCACUCGUCCCAAAAUCUAUUAUGCUAUUAAUCAAAUCUAUCUCUAUAUGCAUGACCCACAAGAAUCUCAUCUCAAUGCCUUGAAGCCUAUUCUUUGCUACGUCAAAGGUACAAUCUCUCAUGGUCUGCAGUUAUAUCGCUCCAUUUUGACAGGUCUGGUUGCCUAUUCUGAUGUAGAUUGGGCGGGAUAUCCUACCACGAGACGAUCCACAUCCGGCUACUGCAUUUUUCUUGGAGACAAUCUUAUUUCUUGGUCCUCCAAACUCCAACAGGCUAUCUCCCGAUCAAGUGCUGAGGCUGAAUACUGUGGCAUGACAAAUGCGGUUGCUGUGCUCUCCUGGCUUUGCUCUCUCCUUGGUAAACUUGGUGUCCAUCUAUAGCGCGCAUCUGUUGUGUUUUGUGAUAACGUCAGUUCUGUUUAUCUCUUGUCUAAUCCAGUUCAAGCUCAUAGAGAUCGACAUUCACUUUGUUCGUGAGAAGGCUUUUAUCAGUCAAGUGAAGGUAGUUCAUGUUCCCUCUGCUCUACAACUCACUGACAUUUUCCCCAAAAGCCUUCCGGUAACGUUAUUUAAUGAUUUUUGCUCCAGCUUGAGCAUCCGGCGACCUCCUGCUCCAACUUCAGGGGAGUGUUAGAAUAUAGGAAUAUAAAUUAUUUCCUAAUUCUUGAUAAUUUCAAAUCUAUAUAGAAUAUAUUUACUUGUAGAGCACUCUUGUACAGCCUAUAUAAAGGCCUUGAUGACUACCAUAACUCUCUACGGAGAUUACAAUCUUACAAAGACAAACAGUGUUGUUAGAGUUGAAAUCCAAGGAAUGGAAGCGUAUGAGGGUCAUAGAGUUCACACAGUUCUUAACCAUAUAGAGAACUCGAAGUUUAUUAAAGAGUUUUAGAACUUUGUAACUUGAAGAUUCUUGUAAGAUAGCCAGAUUGGCUCUUGAAUUUUCAUCACAAGGAUCAUAUAUGGAAUCUUAAUUGAUUUCCCUUCUCUUUCUACUGGUUUGUGUGAUUUUCAACUUUUCUUGGCUUAUUUGAUUACUAUUUUUCUUUUCAUGGAUACUCUAUGCAUCCCCUUGUUCAGUGGUUUAUAUAGUAAUGCUUGUUCUUAGCUAAAAGUUAUUUAUCGCAUCUAGUAGAUUAAACUUGGAAAAAAAACUGUGUAAGGUGAUGCGGUAACGUAGCCGAGACAGUGAAUCACAUCUUAUUCCGAUAUGUUAUGUAUGGGCACUCUCUCUAUGUGUUGGUUUUGGGUCCAGAGUUUCCGAAUAGAGUCUCAGAGUCUGGUGUAGGCGAUGAAAUGUGUCAAGAAUCUAGGCUAUAAAGAUAUCAUUUCUGCCUUAUCCAAUCAAGACUUUAUGAAUGACUACAAAGCCCUUAAUUUACUCAAGACUGAAAUAUGCUCGUCUCAAACCUAGUGAAGCGUCAGAUGUAUAAGUUUUUGAUCGUCUUAACUUUACCACAAUAGUACAAAUAAAAAUCUAAUUGUCAGAAUAUUACAACGUUUGAGAAAAUUGCAAAAAUAGUUUUUUUUGGUAAAGUUUUUAGGUUUAGGGUUUAGGGCUUUUUACCCAAAAACCUAAACUUUUAAAACUAAAACCUAGAUCUUAAAAAACUGAAUCCUAAUCGUUAAAUCUUUAUAAAAAUUUCUGAAAAAGACUAUGUCAACUAUUAAUUUUCCCAAAACUAUAUUAUAUUGACAUUUAGUUGGUAACUUGAUACUAUUCUAGACUAUUUCCUCUUGAUUGUAAGUGUAGUGUAUCCGUACAGGCUAAUAAUACCGUCUAGCAAAAUAGAGAUCAUCAAUGAAAUGGAAUUGUUGUCAAGGUAUAAAAAAACUGAGUGGUCGCAUCAGUGAAAUUAGUUGUUUUGUAAUUUAUAAUGUUAACUUUAAUAGAUAUUGAAAAGGCCAGGUACUUGGUUUGUAAGAAGACUGGGUAGCCAGCCACUAAUUCAUCAAUAACAAUAAGCUUACGAAUGCAUAAAUAUAAAUAAACAAACAGAACACAGUGUUUUUACAUUAUAUUUUUACAUAUUAAUUACACUAAAGUCACAACACUUGGAAUGUAACUCAGUCUUUGGGAAAAUUCUAUAAUCUUUGGUUGAGGAAACUUCAACUUUUAGAAAAGGUUCAAAUACUGAUUUUCUCUAAUAGGGGUGAAUCCUUGAUUUUAUCCGAGGCCAACCGUCUCAAGACAAUUGUGAAUUCGGAUGGUAAUUUUCAAAACUAAAAUUAUCCAUUAGAGUAAUCAGACAUAUUUUUAAUUCAUAACAGAAUUAAAUUUUAUUUGAAACAGUUUUCACUAUAAAAAAGUGUUGAACAGAGCAUUCUUUAACCAUCUAUGUUGUUGCUGUCUUCGUUAACAACCAAAAGCAUUAAGAAAUAGGGAAAGUAGAAGAUGUGUCUGAGAAAGCCUUGUCUGGUAGACGAGAAUGCGUAAGGAAUGAUAAGAAGCAUUAGGAGUAUAAAGAAGACCGAAUCUAUGGCUAAUACAAAAUGGGAAAGCCAUGGGAGAUCGCUCACCACGAGUGUAACUCCAGCCACAAAUGCCAUCGCCAUAGAGACAAGAGCGGUUGUAAGAAGUGGUAAAGCUAGUUCAAAAGCUUUCUUUGUCAGAAGAACAUCACCCAGCUGUGCCCAGAUAAGAGCCAUUAUAGUUACCAUAGAAGAGCACAUUGCAAUACUGUUGAACAAGAGAAAAACCUUGAAAUUCAUUUCAUUGACCAGUGCAGCCAUGCCUUGAUCUGGAGCAGAACUGAUGUAACCACCGGGUAAUGUAAAACCUGCAGUGAAGGUCACAGUUGCUACGAGUGCUGCAGUCACCAUAAGAGUAUUGACACUAUCCUUAUAUUUUUCUGGAUUUUGUAUGUGACUCUGUUUCAAGGGAAUCGGUUUCUGACCAUUUGGUGCACCAGCAGAUACCAAAGCCAUCCAAGUCAAUCUCUGUGUAACCCAAGAAAAGAAGUUAUAUGAGAGUUUUAUAUAUAUUGUCCAUAGGAGAUAUAAAGAAUGUGUUUUGCAUCUAUAAAGUUUGGCAUACCUUGUGAAGUACGUAAGUAUCGUCCUUCAACGCUUGAGCAAUAUCUAGAGCUGUAAAACCAUCAUUGUUCAGUGUUGUGAGGUUAAUCCCAUGGUUCCAUGUAAAAAUAUUCACAACCAACGGGUGUCUGUGUUUCGUGGCCAGGUGUAACGGUGUAUUUCCAUCAACGUCUUGUUCAUGCAUCAUUCUUUUAUGUUCAUCAAGUUGUAGGAGAUACUUGACAACUGUCGACUUACCAGUUUUCGCAGCAACAUGAAGAAUAUUCUGACAUUGACUGUUAAGUAGCUCUAUUGAGUCAGGACAAUGCUUAAUAAACUCUUUUAUGAUCCUGACAUGUCCUUCUUUUGCUGCCAUAUGAAUCGGAAAGAAUCCAUCAUCAUCAGCAACAUAACAGACACUUGAAGCUGCUUUGUCAAACUCUGAUAAUAUAUAGCGAAUUCCCUCAUAAAAUCCUAUUGAUGCUCCAAAUGAAAGACAUGUUCUUCCUUCUUCUUUGCGUAAUUCAACAAGUCCUGGAUCUUGACUAAGAAUAAUACCAAGGAUAUCUACAAUACAAAAACAAAAAACAGAAAAGCAAUCACGAAGAAGGGAAUAUCAAAAUUGGCGCAACGUAAGAAACAUGGCCUUAGAACAAACCUCUCCUCUUGGCCCUCAUUGCUGCAUGUACAACAGAUUUUCCACCACGCAUUAAAGCUAAUUUAGAUAAGCAAGGUGAAGAUUCAAGCAUUUUCUCCACGAGCUCGCAAUAUCCGGCUUCUACAGCCAAGUAUAUCGGAGAAACUCCAUCAUUGUUCACAUCAAAUGAUACAUCCUGCCUCACACUAAAAAGGUAGAACGCCACAUUUGCAUGUUUUUCUUUCAACGCAACGUGUAGAGCCGUAUCUCCGUUCUUGCUUUUAGCGGAAAUUAGCAUAUCACACAUCAAAAACUCUGUAAUGUAUCGAACAAGAAACUCAACAAUAUCGAGAUUUCCUGCUCUAGCUGCAACAUGAAGAGCAGUCUCAGAAAUCAAAUUUCCUUUUUCAAGAAGAUUUGGCGAUUCAGAGACUAUAUAAUCAACUAUAUUUGCAUGACCCGAGGCAGCAGCGAUAUGAAGUAGUGAGUUUUCAUGAUUGUCUACGAGUCGUUGAAGGAUCUUUGCAUCAUCUUUCAUCCUUUUGAGGAGAGAUUCUUUGUCACCUGCUCUUACUGCACACAAUAUCUUCGGGUUCAUAAUCUCAGAUUCAUCACUGUCUAUGAAAAUAGUCAACUGAUUUGGAUUUAAAAGGGAACCAGUGGAUGUGCUCCCUGGAUCAGAUAUAAUGCAACACUCCCUCUUCAUAGUCUUGCUCAUAGCUCCUGAUAUUAAUAGUAAUGAGAAAAAUUCAGUUCCAAAAAAAAAAAAAGAUAAGAGAGAAUCACUUAUAAACAAGUAUAAGAAUUAGACAAACACAUACUCUCAAAAAAAAAAAAAUUCAGAAAAAUAUUAUCUGAGACGCUUUGAAAAUUCAGAGGAUGAACGAUGAACAAAAAUAAUGAUGAAAAUGGAGAAAGAGCGUUUUUUUCUCACCUACGAUUUCAUGAGUUCUGCUGAGAUAUUGGAUGGAAUUUGGACUUUUACAAAAUAUUUCAUUAUUUUGGGACGAUUUUUCAAAAGUUUUCUUCUAAGAAAUUUAUUCCAGUGACCACCAAAAAAUGCGCAAGUCAGUCAAGAUGUCACAAAUAAUCCUCAGCAUGAAGAUAAUUAAGACCUUAAUGAAAUUAUUUUACCUUUAUGUUAUCCCUCGAAGACUUUUUUUUCUAGUGAAUUAGGUAGAAAACAACUUUUGAGACUUUAAUAACCUGAAUAACAAAAAGAUAAUGGGGUUGAGUGGGAAAUUAACUUUUAAGGAGCAAUGAUCACAAAUCCAAUGAUUUCUUAAUAAACACGUAAGAGCAUAUCGUUUUUUGAUGUAACCUUUAUUCAACAAGUAUUUAAUUAAGCGAUUAUACCAGAUACGUCCGGACUAUUUUAAUCUGUAAAGUGAUCGCUGUAAUUUGACAAAACAUAUGUUUUUUGAUGUUUCAGACAUCUUUGAUCCUUCUGGGAUUUUUACUCCCUCAAGGAUUUUUCUCAAUCAAGCCUUUUCUGGCAUUCUGACACAGACCUUGGAUCUGGAUCAUCAUUUUUAUUUUCAAUUUUUUUGGAUACUAAAAAAGAGAACAUUCCAUUUGUAUCAUUUAUCUCACUUCUAGACCAUAAUAUCCCACUUUGGGCGAAAUUAAUAGAAAGCUCAUACUUUUCAGUAUCAUGUUCGUCUUCUGGACGAACAUCUUUAAUUGAUUCUUUUGGAACCUCUUCAUGUAUGUUUUCAGGACAUAUAUCUCUAUAAGGUUCUUCUAGAACCUUUUCACAUAUGUCUUCAUGACAUUUUUCUUUAUUCGGUUCUUCUGGAAUCUUAUCUCCCAAUUUCUUUUUCUUUCGAAGAUUUUUAUUCUUCGAGCCCAUUGGCCUCCCGCGCUUUAACUGAACUCGCGGUUCAUUUACUUUAUUCCCAUCAAUAACUUGUUCUGGAACAUUUAUUUUUGAUGGAGCAGUAGCAGCGGGGACAUAUGAUUUUUCACCCUUCUCGUAUAUGUGAACGUAUAAUUGGUUUGCCAAACUUUGCAAAUGUAUAAUUUUCUUAACUUUCACCUCGCGUUGAUGGGUAGGUGAUAACACCGUAUUUUGACCACUUUUAAGGAUCGUUUUGAAAUACUUUUUUUAUGUUUUUAUUGCUUUCAAGUACUUUUAUUACGUGUUUCAAGUAUUUGUAGUUCCAAGACUCUUUUCAGGAAACUUAGGGAAAAGCUUAACAAAAUGGAUAGAAGAUCAGAUUUUAGCUUAGAGUCAAACCGUCAGAAGUUCACCCCCGAUUGAAGGCUUUCUCACCUUCUGAUCCAGCUCAAAUUUGGAGAUCUCAAAGAUGGAAGUAUCAGCUUUCCAGCACACUUUACUGCUUGGCAAUCCAACGGUUCAAUCAAAAGAUAUGCGAAAAGCAAGAUGUCUCAUAAACCAGCCGGUAAGCGUUUCCACCUGCGGCCAACAGGUCAUUCCCCGCGGUCACAACCAUCCCAACCGUGGCCAGCCAUCCAUUCCCCGCGGUCACGCACAUCCCGACCGCGACCAGCUAACUCCGAGUUCGAAGGUCCAAUUCUGAAGCCCAUAUCAUUUUCCCAGCCUCAAUUCUGGAACCGUAAAGACCAGAGAGCAUUAGAGACUAUGAAUACAUGAGAGCAUUAGAGACUAUGAAUACAUAUCAUUUAUGUCGGUUUUAAAGAGAGAAGAAGAGAGACGAAAUACUUUACAGAAAUUUUACUUAAAGCUUUGUUUUUAGGUUUUAGGGAGAGAGAGAUCUAUCUCUUGAACCCUUGUUCUUUCUUUUUCAAUUUUGGUUUUUGUUCUACUUUUCAAUACUAUGUUUUUGAUUUCGUUUAUCAUGUCUGAGUAUUUUUAUUGUUGGGUCUAAGGGAUUUUCGAUGGGGAUAUAUGUGUUCGAUGAGGAUUCCAUGAGCUAUUGAGCCGAAUCUUAGAAUUUUUUCUUCUGAAUUCGUUUUUACUGCAUGAAAGUAGCAUCAUGAACUACAAUCUGAUCCAGAUGCUUGGUGACACGAAAGUGUUCAUCCGGUGUCAGAUCUAGUUUGGGAGAGCAAAACAAACAUAGGAGUGGAAACCUACCUAUGGGCGAUUUGUGAAUGCUGACGAGCCUUAAACAUAAUGCAUCUCUUCUUUUCCAGGGCCAGAGUGGAAACCUACUGGUCAGGGUUGAGAGAGAUAGUUGUCUAUGAUCACGACAGUGGCGUAUUCAUACGUCCGUGACUCUAGUUCGAAAAGUUUAAGCUAGGAUCUUAUCAAAUUUACUAUCUAGAAAUGUUUUGAAUCGUUCAUACCCCUGAGAAAACUUCCCUGAACCCCAUCGCUUUCUUUCUUAUAGAUUUACUCCGAUUUUUAUUCAAGCUUUAGUCUAGUAUCGCUACGCUUUCAAUCGAUUUUCAUAUAAUCAAUUAGGUUUAACCGUUUUUCUCGUUUUUAGCCAUUUUCGUUAAAGUUUAAUUAUUAGGUCAUUUUAAUUCCCGUAUUUUCUCUUUAAGAUUAGUUUUUACGUUUUAAACACACCACCAAAACCCUUACAAAACUCACCUGGUUCUAUACUUCCUUACUUUAUAUUUCUUUCGAAGGCUUUUGCAGGAAAGAUCCUCCUUCCCUGUGGAUUCGAUCCCUAAGUACUAUAAUCGAUCAGCUGUGCACUUGCGGCUAUUGAUUUCAAUUAGGGUAAAACUUGACAACCCUCAUCGCAGACACACAUCAGUAGGGGGAUCGAGAUAAGCCAAGGUUUGUGUACACCAUGUAAUAUCCUUUGGUGAUUCUCUUGAUCCUCCCGCCAACGCUGGGAAUUCAUUUUCAUCAAAGUGACAAUCGGCAAAACGUGCCGUAAACAUAUCUCCAGUUACCGGUUCAAGAUAUCUAAUUAUACUUGGUGACGUAUAGCCGAUAUAUAUUCUCAAUCUCCUUUGUGGCCCCAUUUUUGUUCUUUGCGGCGGGGCUAUUGGGACAUAGACCGCACAUCCAAAAAUACGGAGAUGGAAUACAUUUGGCUCCUUGCCAGAUGUUAACUGUAUUGGAGGAUAUUCAUUAUAUCCACUUGGCCUCAUCUGGACCAAUGACCUAGCAUGCAAUAUAGCAUGUCCCCAUACAGUAAUUGGGAGUGUUGUUCUCAAUAGUAACGGUCUUGCAAUCAUCUGCAACCGUUUUAUCAAAGACUUAGCCAUGCUAUUAUGUGUAUGAACAUGUGGAACCGAAUGCUCAACAUCGAUUCCCAAUGACAUACAAUAGUCAUUAAAGGCCGCUGAAGUGAAUUCACCAGCGUUAUCAAACCUGACUUUUUUUAUGGCAUAAUCAGGGAAUUGCGCUCUCAACCUGAUUAUUUGGGCAAUGAAUCUUGUGAAAGACAUAUUUCUUGUAGUCAAUAGACACACAUGUGACCAUCUACUAGAUGCGUCAAUUAAUACCAUAAAAUAUCUAAAUGGCAUGCAUGGUGGGUGUAUCGGCCCACAUAUAUCACCAUGUAUUCUCUCUAAAAAUACAAGGGAUUCAUUCCCAACUUUGGCUGGCGAAGGCCUAGUUAUGAGUUUUCCUGGAGAACAUGCCUGACAUGAAAACUCUCCCGAUUGAAAAAUCUUCUGGUUUUUCAAUGGGUGGCCACUCAAAUUUUGCACAAUCUUUCUCAUCAUGACUGAUCCAGGAUAGCCAAAUCUUUCAUGCCAAACUCUAAAUGUACUAGUAAACCCCGGAUUUACUGUAACAUAUGAUUCAGUCAUAUUUAUUUUUGUGCAAUAUAAUCCAGAGGACAUCAAAGAUAUUCAAUGCCAUUUUUAUUUAUAUUUGCUAUAUGAUAUCCAUUUCCUCGGAUAUCUUUAAAACCUAGCAAGUUUCUGCUAGAUUUGGGAGAAUACAAUGCAUUAGUUAUUUCAAACUUUGUCCCCCUUGGCAUUGAAAAAUUAGCUCUUCCGAAGCCUAUUAUAAGAUUUGCAUUACCAGAUAUGGUACUCACGCUUCCGGCGGAGUCCUUUAUUUUGAAACAGGAGAAAUACUUUUUAUCUUUAAGUAUAGUAUGUGUCGUAGCACCGUCUGCUAGACAUUUAUCUCCAUCCUGAAUCUCAAAUGAUGACAUGUUCUGAAUCACAAUAUGCAAGAAAAUGCAUUAAUAAAUGAAAACAUGAUUUUAUAAAUUAUUUUAUAUUAAGAAAAAAACCCUUUUCUUGUUAACAAAAAUAUAUUACAUUUUUAUUUAAAAUUACAUUGGUUUUUCUUGUCUUCUUCAAGAAGACUUUAUAUUACAUCGAUCUUAAUCGCUUUGUUUCCGUUGAUUCUUCAGGAUCAACAAGGAAAUCAGCGAUAUCAAGAUGAGUAUAAUCACUUAUGCCAUCAAAGGAAGGUCCAGCUUCAUCAGAGAUGAAAUUGGUUUCAAAAUUCUUUUCUUUAUCCUUUUCUUUGGCAUCUUGUGAUGCUCGGUACAGAUCGGCUAAAUGUCUUGGCAUACGACAUGUUUUUGCCCAGUGAUUUUUCAUGCCGCAUCUAUAACAAGCAGUUUUUUUUUGCUUUCCUGCUUCCCUACCAACAUCAGUUUUUCUUCCUCGUCCACGACCUAGUCCGCGGUUACGGCCUCGGCCGUGUCCGCGUCCGUGUUCGGUUCUAUUAUUUUGACUGGAUGAUGCAACAUUUGCUUCUAGGAAUGGUGAUGAUCCAGUUGGACGAGUUUGAUAGUUUAACAUCACGAGCUGAUUAUUUUGUUCAGCCACAAGGAGGACUUGCAUCAACUCCGAGUAAGUGGUGUAACCUUUUGCCCGGUAUUGUUUUUGCAGGAUUACAUUUCCAGGAUGAAAUGUUUGGAGAGUUUUUUCGAUCUUGUCGAAAUCACUUACCUCCUGUCCACAGAACAUCAUUCUGGAAGUAAUUCCGAACAUCACAGAAUUAUAUUCACCAACACUUUUGUAUCCUGGAACCGGAGGUUCAACCAUUCAUGUUCGGCUUUCGGUAAGAUCACAUACUUUUGGUGAUCAAACCUAUCUUUGAGAGAUUGCCAAAGAUCUGCAGGAUCUUCUUUCGUGAUGUAUUCCUCUUUUAAACUAUUAUUGAUGUAGUGGAGCAAAAAUAUUAUGGCUUUCGCCUUUUUUUCAUCUGAUGUCGUUUCCGACUUAUCGAUGGUAUCGAGAAGCCCGUUUCCUCUUAGAUGCAUUUUUCACCUACUGCCCAUGACAGGUAAUUUUUUCCAGACACAUCAAGGACAUGGAUUUUGAGCUUCGACAUUAUAAAUGUAUAUAUAUAUCGUAAAUUUAGCGAGAUAUUUAAUUUAAAUUUUUUUAAAGAAAAACAUGAUAAAAACUUUUGAAUAUGCAUAUAUAAUAAAAAUAUAUAUUUAGGCAAUAUAAAAGGUAGAACUUUUUAUAUAAUUGAGGAGGCAGAGCCUACCAUAGUUUUAAAGGAGAAGGCAUAACCUUUCACUCCAUAUAUAAACAAGGAGGAGGUAUAACCUUCUACUCCACAAAUAUAAAUUCAAGGAGGAGGCUUAGCCUUCCAUUCCAUAUAUAUGUUCCGAGGAGACAUAGUCUACCAUAUGAUCAUAUGAUCGUGAAGGUAUAAUCUAUUAUACUGAUCAGUUCGGGGAAGGCAGAGCCUAUUAUCUCGUAAACUUGAAAAUAAAUUGAACAUAAAUUUAAAUCAACAGUUCGGGGAAGGCAGAGCCUAUCAUCCUGAAAUAAUAUAUAAAUUUGAAAUAGAUUAAACAUAGAUUUAAAUCUUACCUCUUUGGUAUAAGAACGGAUUGAGAAACGUUCGUGCUGAUAACGUCUUGUAAACUUUAAAUAUUAUAUGUAUAUAAAAGGAGAGAGAGUGAGUGGAGACGAUAUGAGAGAGAAAAGUUGUAUUAUUAACUUCACUUUUUUUUUUGUCGUCUGAAAAUCCAUUUAAAGCCCAAAGGACAAAGUUUGGUACAACAUAUAUCCAGCUAAAGCCCACAUCAUACACAUGCAAACUAAAGAUAAGGACAAAGUAAAAACACAACACGUGUAUAGGUGGAGAAAAGCAUCGACCACGUGGCAGGUCUAGAGAAGAUCGGAAGCUUCAAUUCAUGCAUAUCGCCGUCGCCGGGAAUCUCACCGGAGAUGUCCGCCGUUGACAGGAAUUCACGAAGCUUGUUGUCUGAUUCACCACGAAGUUUCUAUCGUGCACUUAUGUGUACCAAAUUUUACAUACUCUUCCGAUUAGAUCCUGAGAAGUUCUUCAGCCAGAAGUUUUUCUUUCUUCAUAGUUCGACUCCGAUCAGCCAAAACUCAUACUCAAACAUCACCUUAUGCCUUGAAGAAGGCUUCUGAAGAAGGGACUAAGGGAGAUCUCUGCUCCCAAGCUAUGAGCGGAUGAUACCAAAGCUUGAAGAAGAACAAUACUUCCAACACAACCACCGGAUCUGAAGGCAUCACCUCAAUAAAAGAGGAACCAUCAGCGGAAGAGAUGGGCAAACUAAUCCGGUCGAAGCCGGAAAUUUUAUUUUCCGAUCAAGUCGGAACCGAUAUAAGCGAAAAAACUUCAAUCAUUUCGAUUGAAAGUAUGAGAGAAAAAGUAUUCUUACUCUGUGAAAGAUAUUAAAUAGAGAACAGAGCAAGAAUCAAAAGAACUCUCGAUAUCGCCUCUUUAGUCACCGUAAGGAGAGAGAAGAGAGCGAUUUCCUCUGUAAUUCUAUCUAGGUAUUAUUAACUUCACUUAUAUCACAAAAGGAAGAUGUUCCUCUAUUUAUAGGGAGGAUGGUAGUUACAAAGAAAAUAUGGUUAUUACCACACAUAGGCAAAUGAGAGGUAGGUGAAAGUUGAGGUGAAGAAUCAUUUAUAUAACAAUCACUUAAUUAUGUCACGUUUAUAAAACAUUGAACGAAAUAUAUGUCUGAUUACCUUUAUGAAUAAUUCACAAAUGUCUUUGAGGCGUUUGACCUCAGGUAAAAUCAAGGAUUCAACCCCCCCCCCCAAUUGGACAUUUCUUAAGGUUGAAAUUCCAUCAAUUAUUCGCAUUAUAUUUUACAUUCUUUUUUUUUGUCGUCAUUUGUUUUAUAAAUAUUCCAAAAGGCAGAGCAUAUUACAACAACAUAUUAAAGAGGCCCAACAUAAUAAAUAAAUUAGAUCCAAUUAACCCCAUUACAAUCCACCUAAUACUAAACGUGUAAACUGAUCAUGAAAUUUCAAAACACGUGUGAGGCAGAAAGGUGAAUGUGUUGCAGCGCCGCUUAUCCAUCAUCGGAAAAGUUCUUCACUGAGCAUCCACCAUCGACCACCAUGAUGCCGUACCAGACCACUGCUCUUUCACCUUUUUUUAAUUCCUCCGAUUUGAUCUGGUGUACAUCUGAGGUUAGCAAAUUUCAUUUCUUCAUAAAAUCCAUCACCGAUCAAUACAAACUCAAGACUUAUCACCCUGUGCUUUGAAAAAAUCUUUCUUUAAAAGGGGACUUGGAGAGAUUGAUAACUCCCAGCCAAGAGAGUAUGAUGCCUAAGGUUGAAGAAGGAGAAUCCCAACGCUUGUCACCAGAUCUGCAAGAAGGAGAUAUGGCAGAACAACAUCCGAACAGCCAAAAAAUCCCUUGCUUUACCAUACAAGACCAACGAUUCUUCUAUCAUGAGAAGAGAUCCUUCUCUCCACUAAGGAUUAGUGAAGGAUUUCAAUCACUCAAGUAGAAAGAAAUCGAGAAAUAAAGAUAGCAAAAGAAAAUCCGAUGAAUGGAGAUAAGAGAAAAAAAAAACUAAAACAUAAGAAAAUCCGAUCAUAGUCGGAAUUAUUAGAUCCGUUUAACCGGAAACAUCCAUCCGAUAUUAAUCAGAAUUUGUACAACAAAAAUUGAGAAAAACUCUCUCUCUGUGAAAGAUAGCAAAGAGAGAAUAGAGAGUGAGGAAAAAAACUCAAUUAUUAUACAUUCUAAAUGUUGGAAUUCAGUGUAUAUGUAAUAUGUACGAAUAUAUGGUGUUUAUAAAAUUCCAAAAUAUGUUAAACAUUAUAUACAUUACCAAACCAGUUCAAUAAGGCGAUCUUUCUAGCCUAUAUUUUUGAAUCUUGACACAUUUUAUCGCCCACACAAGACUCUGGAUGCCCAAAAAUAACACAUAGAGAAACUGCCCCAGACCAAAUUGCAUAAGAUGUGAUUCAUUGUCUUGGCUACAUUACCACACCUGGUUCUUUCCGUCGUGAUUAAUUUACGAUGCGACUCAAUUAGUACAUUUUAGCUUAGAACAAUCAUUAGUAAAUGAACCACUGAACAGGGGGAUGCAUAUAGCACCAAAAAAAUGAAAUAUAUAGUAAUCCAAUAAGCCAAAAUAAAAAACUGCAAAACAUCCGAGACAUCUUGAUGAUGGUUUUUUAAAAGAUUGAUGUCAUAUGAUUCAUUUUCUUUUGUUGAUAGGAUAAGAAGAUAGUAUGUUGAGCUGCGUAUACUGAUCCAAUUCAGACAAUAAUCCGCACGAGAUUGCUCAUCUUACAUGAGGCAAAAGCCUCUCACCAGCUUCGAUUACUUCUCUCUUGUAGUCAGCUUAGAAUUUUCUGAGAAAAAAUUGUUCAUUUGCAAGCAAUUGUUAAAAAAAUAGUGAUAGAAGAAUUUUUUUUUUAAGUAAAUAAUUAGCCAUGAAUAAAGAAAAACUUGAAGUGGAGCGUGAUCUGCUCAUUUCCCAAAAAAAUAUUUUAGAACGAAAGUCAAACAAUUUAGACUAAAAAAUGGUAAUUUUCUUAGCAAUUAUAUUACUAAUCUUAAAAGGUAACAUAAUAUUUUUUCCUAUGAGUUUUUAGUUCUAUUUUUUUUUUUUUUUAAAUUCUAUCCAGCCAUGAAUAAAGAAGAACUUGAAUUAGAAAGUCUCACAUCCGCUCAAUAUUCAGAAAAAUAUUUUGGAAAAAAAUUCUAAAAAUUAGGACUAAACAGAAAACUACGAAUGAACCAUUGUGUCUUUCCAUUAAAUAUAUUUUUUUAAAAAGUUGUGUUUUUUUGUUUAGUUUUUUUUUUAUAAAAAUUAUACAUUUCUGUGAAAACUACGAAUGAACCAUUGUGUCUUUCCAUUAAAUAUAUUUUUAAUUAUAUUUUUUUAUAUAAAUGUUAGCUAUUGUAUGGUUAUGUCUUUUGGUUUUUUUAUUUGUAUAUGUGGUGUUUAUUUAGUGAAUCUAUAAUUACAUUUUAAUAGAAAAUGAUUGUUGGAGGUUUAAGUGUUAUGGUUAUUUUGGUAAACCAUUGCAACUAUUGAGUUUAUGGUUAUUUUACUAAACAUUGGAGUUCUAGAGAUUAUAGUCAUUUUAUCAACCAUUGCAACUCUUGAGUUUAUAGUUAUUUACUAAAAAUUACAACUCUUAAAAUUAAAGUUAAUUUACCAACCAUCGCACAUCUUGACUUAAUAGUUAUUGAACUCAACUAUUUAAAAUUUCAAAAAUUAUGUUUUAAUAUUGAAGCAUUGCAUCUUUUUAAAAUAAAGACAAAAUUACUUAUUGAAGAGACGCAAAUUUUUAUUAAGAAGAUAUAAUUUUCUACCAAAUUAUAUAUAACAAUAAGACACAGUUUUUGUUUUUAUUGUUAUUUAGAGAUGGGUAAAGAUUCUAUUUAUCAAGCAUACAACUCACCUGUUAAAUAUCACAAAGUUGAAGUAUCUGCUACAGUAUUAUUAAACAUAGAAUGUAUUAUUUAUUCAAUAAUAUGAUCAAAUUUAGUAAUUAAGUAUCGACUUUUUAAUGUUUUUAAAAUUUAUUCAUGUAUGAUGUUUUUAAAACUUGGUUGAUAAUGUUUGAAUUGUUAUUGUGUUAUCCUCCAUUUAAGAGUGUAGAAGUUUAAUAUGAAAUUGAUAUAAUAUAUUUUCAAAAAUAUUUUGCUUGCAAAAAAGUAUUAAAAAUCAAUGAAUACUGGAAAUUCAAUAGAAUUAUAAAGUUUCUCCCAACAGCAAUCUUUGAUUAACAGUACAUCACUUAAAUUAUAUAUAUAUAUUUAAAAUACUUUUAGAAUGUUAAUUUACAUAUAUUAAUUAAAAAUUAUUUUUGAAUAGAUGGUGAUUUUCAACAAAUAUCAAACGAUAGCAUUAUCCCAAAAAAAUUUGGAAUAGUGAAUAUUUCUAUUGCUAGUCACAAUGGGUCUAAUUGGUAGCAUUAAACGGGCACUUGGCAAGGGCGGUUAAAAAAAUGCUACCAAUUAGCAAGGCCGGUUGGAGAAAACGUUUGAAACCAUUGUUGUAAUCAGCGUUUGAAACCAUUGUUGUAAUCAGCGUUUGAAACGGGCGGUUGAUGGAUGAUUCAGACGGUUGGAGAUUAAUUUUUGGACGGUUACAAACUGUAAAAAAAUGGACGUUUGGAGCAAACGAGCGGUUGUAACCUGAAUUUUUUUUAAUAAUAAAAUUUAUGGUUUGAUGUUAAUUUUUAAUAAUAAACUAGUAAAAUUAUUUAUUUUUUCUUUGUAUGUAUAUGUGUGUGUUUUUAUUUUAUUUUAUUUCAUUCAAUUCAAUUCACUCGAUAAAAUAAAAACAAAAAACAGAAAAUAGAUAUGUUUGUAUAUUCAAGUCAGUCCACAAAAGGAUCAGAUAUUGGUUGUGCAUAUCUGUUUUUAAUCGUCUUAUAAAUUAUGAAUUAUUAAUUAUGAGAACAAGUAUAUGGACGGAUUUAUGAAACAAUAGUUAUGCAUUUAAAAGUUAUUAAAAAACACUUAUCAUCACUGAUAUUUUAAAAAAAACUUAAAUUUUUUUAUGUUUAAUUUUUUCCAAAAAAAAGUUAUGCAUGUAUUCAUGUUCAUCAACAAAAGAAUAAAAACCGAUUAUACAAUUCAGAUUUAUCAAAAAAAUUUUCAUAAUACAUUUAAAACAAAAUCUAAAUUGUUUUAUGCUUCUUUCCUACAAAAAAAAAAAAAAUAUUGUGCAUGUAUAAUAUAUGGCAACAAUUCGUAACCAAAUUGCAGAUAUGUUAUCAUAGGUGAAUGAUGCAAAUUAUUAUAAAACAAAAGGAGUUAUUUUGAAUAGUUUAAUUUUUUUUUCAGAAAUAAUAAUUGUAAUCUUUGUUUACUCAAAUUUCAUAUAAUAAAGUUUAAACUAUGUCUUAUUGUAUAGUUUUAUAAAUAGUUAUCUAAAAAAUAUUGUACUAAUAAUUUUAUACAUUUACACUAUACAACUGAUAUAGUGCUACCAAUCAAGCUUAAUUUUCAACCGCUUUGUGUUAUAAAAUUAUUUUUUCCAACCGCUAUCUCUAUUCGCCUCUUUUCUAACCGCUCAAAAUUCUCUAACCACCUUAUUUAAACAGAGUCACCAAUUGGACCCAAUAUCACAAUUGUUUUUUUAAAUAUAUUAGAACUAAUAAUUUUUAAAAUUUAAAGGAAAAAGAUGAAUACCACAAAAAAGAACCAAAUUAUAACUAAAUGCAAUGUCUCGAUUGUAUAGCUUGGGUUUGGUCAUUAGAAAGUACUGAAACAGAUACAGUUAGUAAACGACCAUUGUUCUCAAUUUGUUUAUUUUUUUUUCAUAUCCGGAGAUAAAUUCCAAGCCUUUCAGGCCCUGACUAAUCUUCCUUAGGCCCAAUACCCUUUUCAUAUAAGCCCAGUAGCAACUCACAUGGUUGAGUGGCCAAAAGUUAAUAAUGUGAUAAUUCCGCAUCGAGGGAGACUCAAUCUCUGGCCUAGACCCACCGAGUCGAAUCUUCCACUAGAAGAGAACCACCCCACUACAACCUCUUGGUUUGUGUGGAGGCUCACAGGCAGUAGAGAGUAAAACACGAUCUUGUUUUCAACAAAUUUUUUUUUCUUAAUUUGUUGAAAACAAGAUCGUGUUUUACUCCCUACUGCUUGUGAGCCUCCACUGUUAUUAGUUAAGCUUUAAAUGAGCCUUUAUUUAUCUGAUAUAUAAAAGCAUAUAAUUAUAUCAUAGCUUUUACUUCUAUGGGUGUAGAAAUUUCUCUGCAAAAUACAUAUACGAUGUAUUGUUUCAAGGUCCAUAGUGAAAAUUAUCAUCUUAUUGGGUUUGUACUACCAUGUGAAAAUUAUCAUCUUAUACAGCUAACAAAAUAAAAAAUGAGGAAAUUUGAUUUAAUAUUCCAAAAAUUUGAUAUUUUUUGAAAAAUAACCUUUUUUAAAAUUUUUUUUGAAAACUAACCUUUUAAGUAGGUAAAAAAACAAUUAUAUCGAUAAUUAAUUUUUAAAAUAUAAUAAAUACAAUAAUUCAUUUUUUCUUUUUUUUAAUUUUAUUUAUUUUGGAAUAAUAUAUGUUUUAAAAUAAAUAUAAUAAUAUUAUAUAUAUAUAUAUAUAUCUACUUUAGAAGAACUAAUAAUUUUAAUUAAAAUUAACGUUUAGAUAUAAAAAAAUUUAUUUAGGUAUACACAAAUCUAGUUUUAUAAUUAUCAUUAACAUACUCAAACUCUAUAUAUAUAUAUAUAUAUAUAUAUAUAUCACCAUUGUACAACAAAAUUAUAAAUUCUUGCAUUCAUAUUGUCUAAGGUAAUUUAUAAAGAGUAAUCAUAUUUUAGUGCAUAAACGUGCACAAAGAUCCAUGUACGUCCAUCAAUUUUCCACCACUUCAAAGAUUAUGUUCAUUAAUAUUCAUGCAUUGUUUAAUCAGAUUUUAUAUCAUCUUGUUAUUUUGAAGUGAUGAUCAAUUUUUAUAUUCAUUUUUUUCGCAAUAUCACUUCAAAAGAUGGUGACCAACGAAUAUCUGAAUUUGUGCAUUACAGAAUUGAACAACAUAAUUACAGUUUAUUUUAAGAAACUUAAUUAUGAUAUUGGUGAUAUCCAAUCGAAAUUGGAUUUUUUGAUGAAAGAGGUUAUUCGUGUACAACAAAGUUGCAGAAACAGAAGUCAUUUGGUAUUUUUAUGUAUUUAACAAAAAAAAUUCUGUUAAAAUACUAUGUACUCUUCUUAUAUUAUACAGAUUAUAGAAUAACAGAUUGUUUUGUAGAAACGAAAACUUGAGUUGCUAGAUCAUACAGAUCAUAUACUCUAUUGCCGUUUACUGAAGAGAGUACGGUGAACAUAAAUCUAAAGCAUGCUUUUAAUUUUUCUCAAAAUGACUAAAGUUAUGAUGGAAAGAGAUGGACACCAAAUUCAGCAAAAUUAUGGAAAAGUUGUAUCAUCUACAGAACUAUUGGUGGAUAUUAUAGAUAAAAUACCAUCGAAAGAACAAAUCUUUAGGGAAAGAAAAAUCCAAAAGAUAAAAGGAUGUCUCAAAGAGUAGGUUUUUGGUGAGAAUCAUGUGGCAAAAAUCAGAGGAACUUGUAACGCAUAUGAAUCUUUUGCUAUGGUGGAUCAAGCAAAAUCUGAUUGGUUCCAUGCAUAGAUGAUGAGAAGUUAUUCUUGAUUAGAUAUGUAUAUUGCAAUGGUAAUUUUGUUUAAUAUUCAUUUUUGACAUUUAAAUUCUGAUUGCAAAGAUACAACCAUUGAUUUUGACAUUUAAGUUUUAUCUUGGAUAAUUUAGUAAUUUUAAAUAUCAAAAAGGUUAGUUUUCAAAGUUUUUUUUUAAGAUGGGUUAUUUUUUAAUAUAAAUAUAUAAAUAUAUAUAUAUAUAUAUAUAUAAAUAUUUUUGUAAUAUUAAACCAAAUCUCCCAACAAUCGCCUAAUAUCACACAAUUAAGAAUUAGUUAAGCCAAUAUAAUAUAUCCAAUGCUAUAUGAUCUUAUAAAUUCAAGAAAAUUUUUGGUUUCCAAAAUAUAAUGUUGAUUUAAAAUGUAUCAAAAAUUUUUAUAAUAGAUUGAAAUCUAAAUUUUUUUUUCCAAAUUUUACAGAUCAUGACAAAUUUGAAUUUUUUUCAUACACGAUUUUGUACUAGAUUUUAAUUCUCUUUGCUUGGAGAUUUUAACAUUUCAUAUCAUGAUAAUAUUUUUAAAAACUUCUCAUUGUAAAAACGAUGAAGUUCUAUCGAUAAAAUUGAUCAUGUUGGUUAUAAUUGUUGUUUAACUUCUUCUCAACGUCAAUUGUAUAGUUGCCUUUUAUAUGGAUAUAUAUAUAUAUAUGUUGAGUUAUACAUUGUUACAUUAACUAGUAACUAUGAACUUAAAUAGAAAUGUGUGUUAAUUGCUUUAUACAGCUUCGUUCGUCUCUGUAUCUUUAUAUUUUUGAAAGUCAUAUCUAUUUAUUUUUUACAAUAGUAGUUAUUUUUUUUUAAAAAAAAUUGGAUCUUUACAUAUAAGUAUAAUCACAUUUUGUUAUAUGUGUAUUUACUUAUAAAUAUUUAAAAUAAUUAUGAAUUUAAUAUACUUUAUUUCUCUCGCGAUUUUUCAUGGGUUUGAGACCAAGUAAUAAUAAAAAAUUAUCAUUUAAAUAACACUAGAUUCUAACAGAAAUGCAAAAUCAAUAUAUACACAACUUUUUGAAUAACAAAAGAUUUUAAAUGGAAUUACAAAAUCACCAUGCCAAUAACAAAGGAUUUUAAAUGGAAAUAUUAUUACACCAAUAACACAAGUUAUGAAUAUAAAAAUCCAUAAACCAAUAACAACAAAAUCUUCAUAUUCUUGAAAAACCAGAGGAGAUUACACUGGAGAGUUGGAAGAUGGAGACACAAGCUUAGAAAAGGGAAAACACUAUUCAUUAAACAUAACAUGUCGCGAAAAGAUGAUGUGGUUUGUGGCGAGAUCAAGACAGCAAAAACCCCGAUGAUCCAUUGGAUAUCUGAGAAAUACGCACAGAGUGGAGCGAGGAGCCAGUUUAUGGGGAGAUGUUUGCAGAAGAUUGGGAUAGCAGAGUGAUCUGACACACGAAGAUGGCUAUAUGUAACAGGUUUCUGAUGAAGCUUGACAAACAGUAUAACAUUGUGAAUUCCGGAGGAAGGUAAGAGGUUGAAAAGGUGAGCGGUUGAGAAGAAGGUAUAGUAUUUAAAACCGCUAACACUGGAAAUAAGAGAUGUCCAAAUAUCAGAGUGAAAGAUCUCAAAGGGUUUUAAAACAACUGAAGAAGAAGAAAUAAAUGGCUAACUGACACGCAUGACACAAAGUCGUCAAGUCGUGUUUAGAAAAAACAAUAACAACAGAGGAUAGAGUGUCCCAAAUGUCCAAGUUUGCGAUGCCACAAUGUAUCGGUGGAGAGGGAAGAAGCGAUAGCAAGUGGAGACGAUGGUGGUGUCAUCGUGGAGACAGAGUACAACGGGCCUGGGCUGUUACAUCAGAGGAGUUUGGUCUUCGUGCAUAAAUCCUUAACACAGAAACCAAACAUGUCAAACUCAACGGAACAAUUAUUAUCGGUCGCAAAGCGACGAACCGAAACCAAAUUUUUUAUCAUGGAUGGACACACAAUGACGUCGCAGAGGUGAAAUGGUCGAUUUGGUAGUGAUGAUGGAAGAAUACCAUUGCCUAUGUGUGUGGAGCGAGCAAGAGAUGCAUUACCGACAAUGAUAGAUGGAAUAAUGCUUUUAUUAAAAAGAGAACGUAGCGUAUCUGGCUGUGAGGUGACAUGAUUCAUCGUACAAGUGUCCAUAUACCAAGCAGAGUCACAUGGAUCUGGUAGGCUCAUUAAGCUGAAAGCCUGGACAAGGUUUGCUGUUGGAGAAGGCGACAAAGCAUGUGGUGAGCGUUGAUGUGAGUGCAGUGGGCAACACAAGUUUUACCCUAGACAAGCUGCAAGUGCACAGCAAACGCAGUAGUACUUAGGCAUCGAAUCCACAGAGAUCUGUGUGUUGAGGACUUCUAACUGAUGCUAAAAACAAUCGUAAACCUAAUCUAAUAAAAAGGGGUUUUGUUUUGUCACUAAAUCUAAUUAUGCAGAGAAUUAAAAAGCUGGAAAUAAAAAUCGGUUGAAAACUAUAUGAAAAAUGGUGCUGGGUUCAAGGUUCAUCUUUAGGGUUCAUGUUCUAAAACACAAAAAUUUAGGCAAGGAUUUUCUAUAACUCUGAAACUAGGAUAGACACAUGUAAGAUUAGCCAAUUCUCGUCACCCUAAUCAUCUAAUCACUUGUUCAUGGCAAUUAACUCUCGCUCUCAUGCCAGAACAAGAUCAUGCUUUGUAGAUCGAAUCCAUCUCUGCUUACGUAUCCUCCAUAGGUAGCUUUCGUCUCCUACGAUGGUGAAAUUCAUAAGAUCCAGUUCAGGCAACCCAGAUACAACACUCUCGUGGCUCGGAUUAAACCUAGGAUCGGAUUCUGGGUGAUCAAUCUAGAAUUACCGCUUUGAGAUUUGGAUGAAUGGGAGAAUCAUGUUAAAAAUCGAAAUCUUUUUUCCUAAAAACCUAGAUGUCAUUCGAACAUGGGGUCUCUUUGGAUUACCCUUUCACCCAACUAGGUGACUACUCAUACAUGGCUGAGGUAGACAUCAUCAUCGGUUUAGAACUAAGAAGAAGAAAAGUAAAAGAAACAAAAUUGCAGAAAAAUUUCUCUUACUGAAGACAGAGUGGCGAUGGAGAGCUUCUACAAAUGCAUAAAAAUAAAACCUAAAACUACAAAUGAUUUCUCUCUCAAAGAGAAGAAAGAGGCUCUCUUACCAAAAACCUAAAAAUGAGUAUUUAUAGUGUUUCUCCAAGUCUUGGGCGUCUAGGACUUGUAAAAUGGGUGCAAGAAGUGUCUUGGGCCUUAGUUGGGCUCCUGAGGUUCAGACAUAGGUCCACCGGGGGUGAAACCUCCUGAGCUGCGGUGGGAAGAAAGCUGGCCGCGGGUGAAAGCACUUGUGCUUGACUGGACUUGUGUUGAUCGGCCUUCAUUGCAUUGAUAAUAUUUGGAGAUCUAACCGUUGGAUUGCUUUGAUUCCAAGUGUGUUGGAGAGCUGGUUUUUUUUCUCUAUAAUGUCUCUAUAUUUGGGGAUGAUCAGACGGUGAGAAGGUCUUCAUUGGUUGCCUAACUUCUGACGGCCUGAAUUUAUCCGAAUGUACUUUUGCUCCAAAAUGCACUCCAAAAUCCCAAGUUUCCUGAAAAGUCUUUUAAACUCCAAAACAUGGAAAAAACUUAUAAAAUCUUUAAAAUUGAGUGAAAACACCUGCAUAAGAUACUGAAAGUGAUCCAUAAAAGUGGUCAAAAUCAGGUGUUAUCAAGCGUUGCAGAGAUGGUCCAAGAAUUCCAGCAGAGGACGCAAAAGUUCCAGAUGAUUGGGGAUAUGUCGAUGAACCGUAUGUGGAAACAGAGCCGUAUAAGUAUGGAUGAGGAGUCCACGCCGGAAACUGGUACGGCGACGGCUGGUGAUGGUACCACAGUGGUGGUAGUUGGAAGUAGUUGGAGAUCCAGCCAUUGUUUUUGUUGUUGUUGCGACUGCGUCUUCAGCCACGAUUAGAUUUCCCACCAUGAUUGUUAUAGUUGCGGUUGUUGCAUCCUUGCGAGUUGGAUUGUUGAUGUGGAAGAGAGUGAGUAAAGUCUGUGGAGGAGGAAUUAGAGGUGAGAAGAACAUUGGAAGAGGAGGAGGUGUGAUGUGGACCUGGAGACACACGACUGCAUUUCGAGAGUCGCUUCUCUUCCAUGAGAAGCAUAGAGAGUGCUUCAGAGAACUGCUGGAAGGGAGUCUUGUGAAUGAUAAAAUUGAAAAUGUUGUCAAAUUUCUCGGAAAGGCUAUUCACAAGAUGCAUAACAUGAGAGCAAUCCGAAACAGGGGCAUCAAUGUUGGCAAGCAGAUCGGGGUGGUCUUCAUCUUUUGACAGAAUUUGUGAACACCGAGGUCACCAAUAGCCAUGGUGUGGAGGUCGUUUUCAAGUUGCAGAGCACGACCUUCCUUAUUGUCGUGGAACAAAGCUUCAAUGGAAGUCCAAAGCUCAUGAGUGGUUCACUUAUUUUUUAAAACCGAAUCAAGGAGAGAUUCAGAGAUGGUUCCAUAGGUACACAUCGUCACAAGUUCAUCACGUUCUUUCCACUUAGAAUCAGUGUUGGAAAAAGAUUUGGAGGUGCUAUCGAGAUGUCCGGCAACACCGAAAGAGACACAGUGAGUCUCAAAUAACUCACGCCACUGAUCAUAGUUGAGUUUUUCUAUGUUAAGGACGAUGGAGACAUAGGCACGAAUUUGUGCGAUGCCGAAGGGUUUUUCGGUAGUGGGGGUGGAGGAGGUAACACCGGUAGACAUCGUACACAGAGAGAAUCGAGAAAUAACAAAAGAAGAAGAAGAAGACUGGGUUUAGGGUUUGUUUCGUGAGGAAGGAGAAGAAAAGAACGGAGGUGGAGCUUAAGAAUCGAUUUUAGGGUUUUUUGAUUUUUAAGAAUAGCUCUGAUACCAUGAAAUCAAAAAUUUUGAUAUUGAAGUCGAAAACUUAGAAAUGAUCAUACCAAUAGUCAUACGAUGACAAAAUGAUUUCAUCUGUACCAACCACUCCUACAAAGUACAAGUCUAGGUCUCCAACUAGAUUCUCGCAAAAAGGAGGAAAUACACAAAUAUGCUUUGACCACUCCUGUUUUUCAAAAUCUUCUAGAACCCAUAACUCAAAUUGCUAUAUUUUAGUAACAAAAUAAGACCCUUUUUGCCACAAGUGAGCCUAGUUACCCAUUGUAAUUUAUCAGAGUUGAUCUAUAUUCCACUGCGCUAAUGAAUUUUCUCAUGAAUUUCAUAAAGCGGAACUUCUCAGACCUUAAAUCAAAGCAAACUAACAUACUUUCCUCUGAAAUUCUAUCACCCACGGCUCGGUAAUACAAAACACCAUCGAUGCAUAUCACAUUACAUACAGUGCCAUGUGGUGUGCAACAUUCAAUCUUUCGCCAUGACAUUUUCCAAGCUUUUAGUGUCAUACCGUGAUACUCAUACUCCUCAGUACCCAUCAUCUCUCUUAUAACUUGGGCAAGUCAUUGAUAAUACUUUGAAUUGCUUCUCAAUCUCGUCCUCGUCUUCAUUUUUGGUAGAGCUAAGGAUUGUCACGUGCUGGAGUUACAUAUUGUAGAGAUAAUAUUGAGAUAAUACUGUAUCUCAUUAGACUAUCUUAUACUUAGGAUAUUCUCGUGUUAAUAUUCUGUAUAUAUCUUCUUCUAUUAGCCUAUAUAUAGCGAUGUAUGAUAUAACUCAUGAUUAAGCAAAUACAAUCAUCUUUCUCUAUAUGGUAUCAGAGCUCUCAUUUCCAAAGGACCUCUCUUUCUCUUAAAAUUUUUUCACUUCAAGAAAUGGCCACUGAAUCAUCCACCUCCUCUGACUUUAUAAAUUCCGUUAACAUGGUUAACAUGACAAAGCUUUCCUCAACCAAUUACAUCACCUGAAGUGCGCAGAUCAGAUCUCUCCUUCGUGGAUAUGAUUUGUUCAAAUUCAUGGAUUCCAGCAGUAAAAUUCUGCCGAAGACCAUCAAAAACUCCGGCGUCAAAGCACCAAAUCCAGCUUACACUUUCUGGCAAUGCCAAGACAGUCUCCUCUUCAGCUUGCUCAUGGGCUCCAUUGAACUGGCUCAAUAGCCUCUUAUUGCCAGUGCGGAUUCUUCUCUCGCUGUCUGGACAACACUAACGGAGACAUACAGUAACCCAACACGAGGUCACAAGAAACAAUUGAAACACCAAUUGAAGCAGAGUGUCAAAGGCACAAAGACUGUGGAUGCCUAUAUGCAGCAGAUCAAAGCAACAUCAGAUGUUCUUGCCCUGCCCGAAAUCCCACAAGAUCCAGAGGAUCUCACUGACAUCGUCCUUGAUGGUCUCGGAGAUGACUACAAAUCCCUGAUUGAGUUCGAUCACAGCCGUGAAACACCAAUCUUGUUUGCUGAACUUCAUGAGAAACUCAUCACUCGAGGGUCACGGUGUCAAACGGUGUCCGAUGUUCAAGCUUGUCUCCUUGCAGCCACUAACUUCUUCAAACUUUUCUGGACAUCCACAAGGAUUUUCUCCAUCGUUUCCUCAGGCGUACAACACCAUGAUGAUCCCAGAUAUGAUGCUCCCUCGUGGCUAAUGGUUCCAGCAGUAAAAUUCUGCCGAAGACCAUCAAAAACUCCGGCGUCAAAGAACCAAAUCCAGCUUACACUUUCUGGCAAUGCCAAGACAGUCUCCUCUUCAGCUUGCUCAUGGGCUCCAUUGAACUGGCUCAAUAGCCUCUUAUUGCCAGUGCGGAUUCUUCUCUCGCUGUCUGGACAACACUAACGGAGACAUACAGUAACCCAACACGAGGUCACAAGAAACAAUUGAAACACCAAUUGAAGCAGAGUGUCAAAGGCACAAAGAAUGUGGAUGCCUAUAUGCAGCAGAUCAAAGCAACAUCAGAUGUUCUUGCCCUGCCCGAAAUUCCACAAGAUCCAGAGGAUCUCACUGACAUCAUCCUUGAUGGUCUCGGAGAUGACUACAAAUCCCUGAUUGAGUUCGAUCACAGCCGUGAAACACCAAUCUUGUUUGCUGAACUUCAUGAGAAACUCAUCACUCGAGAGUCACGGUGUCAAACGGUGUACGAUGUUCAAGCUUGUCUCCUUGCAGCCACUAACUUCUUCAAACUUUUCUGGACAUCCACAAGGAUUUUCUCCAUCGUUUCCUCAGGCGUACAACACCAUGAUGAUCCCAGAUAUGAUGCUCCCUCGUGGCUAAUGGGUUCAGAAGCCUCUGAUCAUCUUAUAAUUGAUUUGGCUAAGAUGUGAAAAUUGGAAAUGGAAUGGGACUUCAUAUUUCUAAUACGGGUUCCACUAUUCUCCCCUCUCCUUCACGUAACUUUGCUAUGAAUAAAGUUUUUCAUGUUCUUAGUAUUGCAAGAAAUCUUGUUUCAGUCAAACAACUAUGCACACAAUCGGGUUUUCGUGAAAUUUUUCCCGGACUUAAUUUAGGUGAAGGAUCUCAACACGGGGGCGCCAGUGAUAACCCGGGGGGGGGGGGGGGAAAGGGGGGGGGGGAACUAAAAAUGAAGGUUAUGAGUGGCCGUAUCAAGAUUCAUCAAAAAAUUUCUCAUUUUCUGCCUCAAUAAAAUGUCCUCUAGCGAUCUGGCAUUCAAGAUUAGGACAUCCUGCCAUUUCCAUUUUAAAAUCUGCUAUAUCUCCUUUGUUGUUUUCAGCCUCUAAAAAAUCAUCUUCUUUUCACUGCACUGAUUAUUCAAUUAAUAAAAGUCACAAAUUGCCUUUUUCUAUUUUUUCCUCUUUCUCCUCAACAAAACCUCUUGAGCUUAUAUAUUUAGAUAUCUGGAUUUCGCCAAUUAAUAUUUUUUCCAUUAAUGGGUGUAAAUAUUUUGUGAUUUUUGUGGAUCACUUCACACAUCAUGUCUGGUUCUAUCCACUUUGCAGAAAAUUUGAUGUUCGACACACAUUCAUUCGGUGGAAAGCACUUGUGGAGAAACAAUUUCAGAAUAAUUUGAUCUCAUUCUAUUCAGACAACGGUAGAGAGUACGUUUCCCUAGCUGAUUUCCUUGCAACAAAUGGUGUCUCUCAUCUCACUACUCCACCGCAUACACCCGAACACAACGGAUUCUCCAAAUGACGGCACAGACAGUGGAAACAGGCCUUGCUGUCCUCACUCAUGCCUCAAUGCCCACGAACUACUGGACAUAUGCACUCGCAGCAAUUUACCUUAUCAAUCACUUACCAACACCGACGUUAUCGCUCGUCUUUCCGUACGAGAAGCUAUUUGGCGCUGCUCCUAAUUAUACAAAGCUGUCUGUGGUUGGAUGCCUUUGUUUCCCAUAGCUCAAGCCAUACAUACACCACUAGCUCAACUCACGCUUACAACCGUGCAUAUUUUUGGGAUAUUUACUAAGCCAGAGAGCAUUUCUCUGUCUGGAGCCGGUGAGUUCUCGUAUUUUUGAUUCUUGCCAUGUCCAAUAUGUGGAAUAAAAUUCCCUUUUCAUUCUCUCUCUUCUCCUUCACCAAAAUCUGUUUCAAUUUUCCCAACAUGGUGCUGCCAGGCACCACAAUCUCGAUGCCACUGCAGAAAUCUCUAUCAUCAGCAAUGCCCCCAGGUUCAGAUUCUUUACUAACAAAUACUGCUUUACCAGAGACAACUAAUUAAUUUGGAGAUGCUGGUAAUCUAGAAUUGCAGGACACACCGAGUGAAUCUUCCUCUUCGACCAUGGAAUCUAGAAUUGCUGGUAAUACUGCUUUGCCUUCCUGCAAACUCUGUUCCAACAGCAGCUGGCCUAGUUGUCAAUUCACACCCAAUGCAAACACGUGGGAAAAAUAAUACUGCUUUGCCUUCCUGCAAACUCUGUUCCAACAGCAGCUGGCCUAGUUGUCAAUUCACACCCAAUGCAAACACGUGGGAAAAAUAAUAUCACCAGACCUUUGCAGAAAUUUCCAUGGUUGCUCUCACUUCGUUACAGUCAGAUGAUGAACCUGCAAAUGUAACACAAACCAUGAAAGAUGAGCGCUGGCGAAAUUCCAUGUCUACUGAAUUUAAUUCUCAAGUUCAGUUACAAACAUGGGAUCUUGUUACUCCUUCUCCAGACUACAAUUUAAUCAGGAACAAGUGGGUUUUUCGUACGAAGUGCCGCCCAGAUGGUUUUGUUGAACGAUUCAAGUCACAUCUUGACACAAAAGGGUUUCAUCAACGUCAUGGCAUCAAUUUUCAGGAAUGUUCAGCCCUCUUGUCAAGCACUCUACUGUUCUCAUAUUACUAGGAGUUGCAGUAUCUUGUGAUUGGCCCUUGCGACAGCAUGAUGUUAACAACACAUUUUUGCAGGGUCGGUUAACUGAGGAUGUGUAUAUGUCACAGCCGGUUGGCUUUGUGAACAAAAGAUAAACUGCAUAAUGUCUACAAAUUGAAGAAAGCACUCUAUGAAUUGAAACAAGCUCCUAAAGCAUGGUACAUGGAGCUUCAGAAUUUUCUCACUCAAUCUGGUUUUGUGAACUCUUUGGCUGAUGCAUCGUUGUUUAUUUUUUUCACUCGGGAAACAUACACACUUGUAUAUGUUGAUGACAUAAUGGUUACAGGGAACAACCCUAUGAUGCUAAGAGAAUCAAGGGUUACUUUUAGCUUCACGUUUUAAACUUAUAACCCUAAAUAUCUGCAAGUGCACAGAUGUACGCUGUAGUACUUAGGAGUCGAACCACAGAGAUUUUAAGCUUUCAGCACGAAUCAAUCAAAACUUAAGACUAGUAGAACAAGCAAAAUGGGGGUUUUUGGUUUUGGUGUGACUAAAUCUAAAUGCAAACAAAAUAAAGAAGUUGUAAAACAAUAAGGAUUAAGCGCUGGGUCUAAAGGGUUUUCGCAGGGAUUCAUGAAUUGAUCAAAAGAAAGAAAAAUUGAUAAAGGUAAUCAUAUAGUGAGGAUCCCGAACUCGAAUAGGCGCAGGUAUGAUUAGCCAACUCUUGCCACCCUAAUCAUCUAAUCACUCAACACAACAAUUAACUAUCGCUCUGAUGCUGCGAAUAAGAUCAUGUAUUAGAAAUAGAAUUCGUCCACGCUCGCGAUUCUCUAUAGGUAGCUUUCCUCUCCUAUAGCGAAUUCGCUCGGUCACUUCUAGGUCUGGUAAUUCGAUACAACACUCUCGUGGCUCCAAUUACUGAGAUCAAUUUCUAAGCGGUUAGCAAUAGAAAAAGCAUAGGGAACAAGAAUGAACAAAUGACUCGUAGAAGAUUAAUAGCCCUAAAUCGAACAAAUCAUAUGAUCAAGACAUGAAAUUCCCUUUGAAAAAUCCCUUAAAAACUCAACUGGGAAAUUACUCAGACAUGGCUGAGUUUAACAUCACAAAAGUAUUUAGAAUUGCAGAGAAUUGAAAUAGACAAAGGUUAGAAACGAAGAACAGGUUGAAGUAGGAGGGCUGAUGGUGCCCCUCUCGGUGGCUCCUCUUCAAGGUGAGUCUCUCUCUCUAGGGUUCUUGGUGAAAACGCGGCAUACCCUUCUAAAUGACUUAAAAGUGGUUUAUAUAGUGUCUUGAGUCCUCGAGAACACUUAGGACUUGCAGGAAUAAUGACGGGAAUGACUUGGGCUUUA
rnacentral:lncRNA from 1 species